ACCACAGGGGUUUUGGUUCUUGACACUUGUUACGGCACCGUAGUCUCUCCAAUCAAUACUUUGAGGCACCGCGGAGAUGUCUACGUCAUCAAACGACACCACUGGCUCUCUCUCGAUAUUUAGUGGGCGAGAUAUACCACCAGUAUAUUGAGCAACAAAUUCGUUAUUUGUCAUAUCGGUAAACUGAUUGAUGCCGAGAGUGUACGAAUUUUUAUUGCGACUGUUAAAGGUUUCGAUAUGGUUCACGUUGUUCUUGAAUAUCUGAAACCGGCGCAUCUUCUCAUCGUUGUCCUUGUAAACUCGGCCGUACUCCACCAUCCAUUCUUCAAACCGCUUCAUCAUGGGAUCACUGGGUUCGUCAGCAGAAGCUGCCGAUGGCGAAGCCCACAUCACACAGAGAAACAAGAAAAGAAACACGAGUUGAACUUUCCAAGCCAUGCUUAUGUAGCACUAAAUAUCUGCUAUAUGUAUGAGGAAAUUGGAGAUCGAGCUACAAGAGCUUUUGUUGCUGAGAGUAUGGUCUCAAGAUCGAGUUUAUAUAGAAGUUCGUGCCUUCGAAUGUAGGGGGGAGAAUUAAUGGGUGGAGGCCUACAAGAUGUCACAAAUCGCCAUCAAAUUAAGAUUAAAUAGUUCUGGACGGCUUGCGACACCACGUCAUGUGGUCACUAGUGUAGAUAUUAUUGAAAUAAAAAUUUGUAUAAAAUAAAAUAUCAGUUUGGUAUGAAAAAAUAAUAAAUAUAGUCUAUAUUAUAAACAAACACUUCUAAACAAAAUAAAACUAAAAUGAAAAAAAAAUUAAUCGUUCCAAUAAAAUUAUUCAAGCUUGUUAAAAAAAAAUCGCAUACAUACAAAUGGAUGAUUAAAAUUAUUUUUAUAAUACAAUAAUAAGAUAAAAUAUCAUAUAGUAGUUGAUAUGAUUAAAAAAAAAAACUCACAAUAAUAUGCAAGACUAUAUAUAUAUAUAUAUAUAUAUAUAUAUAUAUAUAUAUAUAUCGAGUUGAGUUAGAAUGCUAUCGAUAGCGAACGGGCUCUGUCGCCAUCCAUUUGUUUUCGAUGAUGGAGCCUUCAAAUCGACAAUCGGCAUCUUUGAACAUGAUUUAUAUCACUUGAAAUACUGAGAAAUAAAAUUUUAAAUCUUUUCGAAAUCAUUUACCUAAUGAUCAAAGGGUUUCAAAAUUUGUAAUUUUAAUAGUAGAUGUGAGAUGUUUUCUCGUUUAACGGUAUAAAGCUAUCGAAAUCAAUUAAAUUUUGGUUACAAAAUUAUUUAAACUAUUUAGAUUAAGNUUUUAAUAUAUUUUUUGUCUAAUUUGUAUAUUUAGAAAAUGAUGAAAAAUGAAUUUGUUAAAUGUUAAUAAUUUUUUAAUUUUAGAAUUUUAUUUGUUGCAUUAUUAUAAUUUAUAUGCAAACAAAUAAUAUAUUUUUAAAAUUUUAUUUUAUAAUUAUACAUAUAUAUAAUUAUAUACAUAUAUAAUUAUAUUAAUUUUUAUUUAUUAUAAUUUAUUAUUCACUAAGUAACAAAAUAGACAAUAAUAUCACUUCGGAGGUAAGUAUACCGGGGGUGGAGAGCUACACUUUUUAUAUCAUCUAUUUCCUACCAAACAAACAACAGAACUCACAGAACUGCACUUCCACAGUUAGAAACAAACAGCUGAAGUGAAUUAAUUUUCACCUAAACUCCACUUUUAUCCAAAGUCCACUUCCACCCAAAGUCUACUUACGUUGAAACAAACAUGCUCUUAUUGGAGAACCGCCAAAAAGGAUGGAGCGGGGCCAAGUUUCUCAUGGUGCUACUACUAUGUGGGCCAAGAGCCAUCUCGAUCCGCAUAAUAUAUUUUUUACAAAAAUAUUUUUAAUAGAAUAAAAGUUUUUUACUAAAUAUUUUUUAUUUAUAUAAAUAUCAAUGACUAUUUAUGAGUCCAGCUAGGAUACUAUCGAUAGCACCAAGGGUUUGGUGCUAUCGAAUUUUCAACCGUUAGAUUUAACUCUUUGAUUAUUUUUACCUGUUUGAUUAUACUAUUCAACAACCACCCACUCUACCUAGGGGAUCCACAUUAUCCUAACUGUAUAUUUUUUAAUUUAAAGACUAAAAAACUAAUAGCACCAAGCUAUUGAUAGUAUUCCAGCUUAGUUCGACCAUUUAUAUCUAUAUAUUUUAAUAUUUAUUCUUCAUUAUACAUUGGCUUCAUAGUACUAUUGUAUAACACAACCCAAUUAUGUGGCUAGGUCGAGUUACAGCAAACCCUUAUUUCCACCCUAGAAUACGCGCAUACACAAUUGCAUUGCAUAAGGAGACAAAUGUUCGAUCCAUUUUGUAAUACUAAUUAAUAAGCAGAAGUACUUGAUCACAGUAAUUAAGGAGCACACUUAACUGUAGAUCUUCAAACUAGCUUACAUAUAUACUCACUGAACACACCGAAACAUAACAGAAAUUAACCACAAUGUCGAAGCAAGCAGCUGAACAAAUGGAUGCGUACAUGCAUCCUUAUUUUAUAACUAAGCAAAUAUAUAUGAUAGCAAACUGCAUGCAGUGCGUUGCUAAUCAUCAUCACUUCCGAUCGACCUACACUGAGCUUCGACUUUCAGAAACCAUUUUAAUGGCUUCGACAUUGGCCCCUGAUUCUAGAGUGGGAUAGAGAGAAUCAAUGGCGAUUCCACAUAUUCCAGAUGACGAUGACACAUCUCUUGCCAUACGGAUGUAUCCGGCCUCACCCCAUCUGGCACCCCAUGAGUUCUUUACUAUCCAAUAUUUUUUUCCGUUGCUAUCCUGCCCGUAACCUAUAGCGGUGACGGCGUGAUUGAGACUAGUUCCACAAGGUCCGUUAAACACACCGCUCUUGUAAUAUUGAAAGUUUGCAUUGGCAUCGACAGCAACAGUUAUUGGUUGUUUCGACACAGCGUACAUCAUGCUGCUUUCGUUGUUCCUCGGCACACGUGCAUAACCAGUAAUAUAAGCUGAAUUGGGCACGCCAUUGGUCUUGCAGGUGCCUUUGGCUGCUUUGUAAGGGUAGAUAGCUGCCNUUGGAAUCGGACCACGUGUUGCACGUACGGAAUAGGGAGUGAUAAGAAAAAUCUCAUAAAUUAUUAAUACCGUCCAGGCUCUCUUGAGCGAUUAGGAUGUGUAUGGUUGCACGUAAAAUUGUGAAAAAAAAAUUUAUCAAGAAAAAAAAUUUUGGUGGAAAAAAAAUUUUACGUCUUUAGUGUUUGAUUUGUAGGAAAAGAAAAAUAUUUUUUCAUGACUGUUGUUUGGUUGAAAAGAAAAAAAUUGAUAAAAAACUAUUUAAUAUAAUUUUUUAUUAUAUAUUAUUAAUAUAUUAUUAUAAUUUUUAUUUAUAGAUUAAAUAUAUUUAAAAUUAUAAUAAAUAUAUAACAUAAUAUCUAAGCUUACCCGAAUGCCACGCCUUGUUAGAUAUGAUGAAUUCGAAGGCUCCUGAACUCCCAGCCGCCCUUUGCACCCCAGUAGCCUUUAGCACAAUCGAAACUUUGCUGCUCCGGUUGAUUUUUUUUGUAAAAGGUUUCUAAAGAUCCCUUUGUUUGAUCUUGUGAUUGAUUUCUAAACCCGUCGCAAUUGCAGGCGAAUGCCACAGCAAGCCACCUGUGCCGAAACAAAGAUUGAAAUCGGUGUUAGCAUAGCUAGUGUAAAGCAAAGUAAUAUAUAUGUAGUUGCCAUGAUAAAAGAAAAACAUUCCAACUAAACCUAAUUAGAUGUUAUUUGUCAAGUAUUGCAGCUGCUUUUAACUUGUUUCAAGUCAGUUGUCAUGCAUAGGGAUGUCCCAUUCUUUUGACUAACACCGUACAUAUUUUGCUUAACUUUCAUAAUAUUAUUGUAAUAAACUUAAUUAAUAAUAGAAAUUCAAAUAAUAACCUAACGCCUAGAUGAUUGAAAUCAAGGUCGAAGUCUAUGAUGUUAUGGUUGAAGUCUUUAAGUGUGUUUUGGAUGAGCAAUUCUUCUUAAUCAGCCAUGUAUUUCUGUAAUCAGUUUGAUUGUGACUUAUGAUCCACAGUUCCGAUCAGGCAAGGCGAUGAUUUUUUAUACUAGAUUCAAACUUCCUUGUAUGAGAAUUGAUAAUAAAUGUCUAGUGAAUGUUUAGAGCAAAAUAAUAGAUUAUUGCGUUUUAGUGGUGGAGUUUUGGUCCUUUAGCCAAAAACGGCGGAAGGCACUUCAUUGGUGAGAUUUGAUCUAAGCAACAUGUUUAAAGUUAACUAAGGUAGCAUUUGGUUGGGAAUAAUAGGGAAAUAAAGCCCUUGUUCUCAAACGCAGCUUUGUAUCGCGAGAAUAAAUAGUUAAUUCUCGAGUUUCUAAAAAUGCCCGGGUAUAGAAGAUUGGAAAGCGUUGUUCCAAACCUUUUUCUGGAAAAGUUUGUUCCUAGGUGAGCAAUAAGAUUAUUAAAGUCUAAAUAGUUUAAUUUAUGGUAUUCGAAUUAACUUAAUUAAUUUAAUUAAUAUAUUUAAAAUUACCUAUUUAAAUCUUUAAAUAAUAAAAUAAUGUAUUAAUUUAUUAUAAUUAAUUAAUUAAUUUAUAAUUAAUAAGAAGUUCGUAUCUAUUUCUAAAUAAGCGUUUUUACUAUACCCAAACCAAACGCAGCCUAAAUGGAAUAGGUAUUGUCUCCCUAAAGUUGCAAGAAAUGAAUUGCAUUGAUAAUUUAUACGCUAAAAUAUUUCUUACGCACAGGCGGUUUUGGUGCUAUGACACUUGGUUAGGCGGCAACCGUAGUUCUUCCAAUCAAGUACUCUUGAGGGCACGCGCGGAGAUGUCUACGUCAUCAAACGACACCUACUGGCCUUCUCUCUCGAUAUUUAUGGGCGAAGAUAUACGCACCAGUAUAAUUGAGGGGCAUAAAAAAUUCGUUACUUUGUCAUAUCGGUAACUGAUUGAUGCCGAGAGUGUACGAAUUUUCGUUGCGACUGUUAAAGGUUUCGAUAUGGUUUCACGUUGUUUCUUGAAUAUCUGAAACGGCGCAUCUCUCAUCGUUGCUUGUAAACUCGGCUCGUACUACACCAUCCAUUCUCACCCGCUUCAUCAUGGGAGAUCACUGGUUCGUCAGCCAGAAGCUGGCGAUGCGAAGCCCACAAUCACAACAGAGAAUACAAGAAAAGAAACACGACUUGAACUUUCCAAGCCAAUGCUUAUGUAGACUAAUAUCUGCUAUAUGUAUAGGAAAUUGAGAUCGCAGCUAAAGAGCUUUCUUCUGUGCUGAGAUGGUCUCAAAAAGAUCGAGUUUAAUAUAGUAAGUUCGUACCUUCGAAUGUAGGGGGGAGAAUUAAUCGGUGGAGGCCUAACAAGAAUGUCACAAAUUCGCCAUCAAUUUAAGAUUAAAUAGUUCUGACGGCUUGCGACCCACGUCAUGUGGUCACUAGUGUAGAUAUUAUGAAAUAAAAAUUUUGUAUAAAUAAAAAUAUCAGUUUGGUAUGAAAAAUAAUAAAUAUAGUUAAUAAUUUAUAAACAAACACUUCUAUAACAAAAUAAAACUAAAAUGAAAAAAAUUAAUCGUUUUCCAAAUAAGAAUUAUUCAAGCGCUUGUUAAAAAAAACGCAUACAUACAAAUGGAUGAUUAAAAAUAUUUUUAUAAAUACAAUAAAGAUAAAAUAUCAUAUAGUAAGUUGAUAAUGAAUUAAAAAAAAAAUCACAUAAUAUGCAUAGACUAAUAUAUACUAUAUGAUAUAUAUAUAUAUAUAAUAUAUAUAUAUCGAGUUGAGUUAGAAAUGCUAUCGAUAGCGAACGGGGCGCUCCGCGCCAUCCAUAUUGUUUUCGAUGAUGGAGGCCUUCAAUCGACCAAUGCUCAUCUUGAAACAUGUUUAUACCAGUUGAAAUAUUAGAAAGUCAAUUUUAAAAUCUUAUUCGAAAUCUAUUUACUAAUGAAUCAAAGGUUUCAAAUUUGUAAUUUUAAAUAGUAGAUGUGAAGAUAGUUUUCUCGUUUAAACGGUAAUACAAAGCUAUCGAAUCAUUGAAAUUUUUGGUUCAUCAAAAUUAUUUAGACACUAUUAGAUUAAGAUCUAUACUCCCUGCAUGCUUGAUUAUAAAUUUCUAUCAUCACUUUUUAAGAAUAUUCAUUUUCAAACGUUCAUUUCCACUUGAUGACAAGAAAGCAAUAUCCGAAAAAGUACGAACGGGUCUUCAUUUCAAAGAUCCUUCAAAUGGUAUACACUAUAUCAUUUUCAAUAAUAUCCCGAUCGCGCGAUUGGAGCUCCAUCAUGCGACGCAACCCGAUUCAAGUUCAUCUCAUGUUCCUUGAUCCAAAAGAUUCUAUCAAUCUCAUUCUCUUCACGAUAUCCUGAAGUGCAAAUUAAAGCAUAUGGUACACCCAAAAUCAAUCAUGCAUUAUACUUUUUUAGUGUAGUAAUUUUCUUAAACUUUAUAAAUUAUAUCAACAAAUUAAAUUUUAAUUUUAAAAGUUUUUAGAGGAAAAUAUAAUUAGUUUACAGCAUUUUGUUCAUUUUGAGAUCUUUUUUUAUCGCCCGAGUAAAACGCUAGUAAGACAGAUGUAGUACGCAAUCAUGCCUAUGCUGAGAUUCCUUGAAAAUUUUUGAAUGUAUCGUCAUCUUGAUAAAAAGUGGCCACCUCCAAUCAAUCCAACAAUUUUUUAAAAUUUAUUUUGUUCACAUAAUAAUUAUAAAGAUAUAAUUUUAUUAUAUAUUUAAAAUAAAUAUAAUUAGUUUAUUAUUGAUAAUAUGGAUGUUAUUUAUUAUUUAUUUUUUUGAGAGCCAGAUAGUAUAUCUACCACUUAUUUUUAAUAGUCAUUUAAAAUACAGAACUGAACAAUAUGAAUUAAUAAAAUAAUUGUUAUUAUUAAUGAUGUGAUGUAAGUAUGAUACAGCUAAAUUUUUUCCGCAGGCCAUCUAUAAUGCCUUUAUCGGACAAAUAACUCAUGCAUUCAUUCCUUUCUAUAUUAUUAGGAAGCAUUUUGGUGCUCGUCCUUUGUUUGGACAGAUGGCAAUCAUCGAAUGAGGGGGCCCCGUACAAACCUUCACUCUCCGUACCAAGGGUUAUUGCAGCUAUAUUUGUUUAUUGACAUCGACCACGUGUUGCACGAGCGGAAAGGGAGUGAUAAGAAAAUCUCAUAAAUUAUUAAUACGUCCAGGGCUCUCUUGAGUCAUUAGGAUGUGAUAUGGUUGACGAAAUUGUAGAAAAAAAAAUUUAUCAAGAAAAAAAAUUUGGAUGGAAAAAAAUAUUUAGUCUUUGUGUUUGAUUUGUAGGAAAAGAAAAUAUUUUUCAUGAAUGUUGUUUGUUGAAAAAAAAAAUUGAUAAAAAGACUAUUUUAAUAUAAUUUUUUAUUAUAUAUUAUAAUAUAUUAUUAUAAUUUUUAUUUAUAGAUUAAAUAUAUUUAAAAUUAAUAAAUAUAUACAUAAAAUGAAGAGUUAUAAUUUAGAAGAAUUAAUAAAUAUAUACUAUAUAUAUAUAUGGUUGUUUCGUUAGAAGAGAAUAAAAAAAUGAAAAGUAAAUAAAAAACGAUUUAUAUAUUCUUUUUUUAUUAUUAUAUAUAUUAUAUAGGAAAUUUCAUAGAUGCCCUUCAGGAACCUAUUAAUUUCCAUCAAUGCCCUUCUAAAACUGAUAAUAUGCAUGAAUGCCCUCCAAAUAUAUCAACAAAUUUCAUAAAUACCUUCACUAGUUAAGUUCGUCAAAGUCCCUUUAAAAUAGAGUUAUAUUUUUAAAAUGGCCAUUUUUACGCCUUUAUCUCCCCAUUAACAGUAGAAGAAUAUCUAAAUAGAUAUUUCAAGACAAUUUCUAUAUCACCUAAGUUUAAUUAUUAAAUUAAAUUAUUAAUAUUAAUUAAUUAUAAAAAUAUAUAAUUAUUAAUUGUAUUUUAUAUAAUAGUAUGUUUUAUAUGAUUCUUGGUUUUGUUUCGGGCUGAUUUCGGUUCAGGUUUGGUUUAGAUAUAAAUCAAAACGCAUUACCAUUGAGUUUGAAAUAUAAUGUGAUGUUUAUUUUUUUUCAUCUAAGCUUUAACUGAAACUAUAUGAGUUUUAUAAAUUAUAUUUAAAAGUANNNNNNNNNNNNNNNNNNNNNNNNNUUCUUAGUUAGUCAUAGGAUAUAUAUAGGAUGUUAAGAUCUGUAUAAUUGGGAAAGUGAGGGGUUUUGUAUAGAAAUUUGUCUUGUCGAUAUUAUUGAUUGUUUACAAGUGCUAAACUGUUAAAAUCUCACAACACACCAUAUGGCGAAAAACUGUAAAAUUGUUAUUUUGAUGAUCUUUAAUUGGAUCGACAGUUCAGAUGAUUCGAAAAAAUUGAAAUUUAGGUUCGAAAUAAUUUCAAUAGUGUAGGAUCAAUUUAACGGAGCCGUCGUACGAUAUGGAACGGAUCAUUGAGAAACUAACGUUGUAGCAUGAAGCAGCAUCCUCCUAACCGAUAAGCAUACGCUACUGAUGCGAUAUUAGAUUAUAAUAUAUUAAUAAUAGUAUAUAAUUAGUAUAUACUCAUGUUAUAUUAUAUCGAGCUAUAUAGUAUUAGUAUUAUAUAUGAAGCGAGCUUAUGAUCUUUGUAAAAGAAUCAUGAACUUGAGCUUGCUUGUAAUUUUUGCAUGUUAGAUUUACUAUUUUACUCUUUUCAUAUAUUAAAUAUACUAUACAAUCAAUCGACCAUACUCAACAUGAGAUAAUAUCAUCCUAACGACUCUCCUUAAUCAAGGACCAGAAAAUCUAUAAGCAGAACUGAUUUGAAUAUUUUUAAAAGUAUAAGGACUAUUUUUGUAUUAGAGAAAUCGUUGCUGCUCAAGAAAGAUAGAGGCAUUAGUACUCUUAAAUUAUUUAUCGCUAUGGAGAUUUCAAAUCUGUAAUCCAGUCCGUAAGCUUGAUAUAUAUAUUUUGAUUUAUAAAAUAAAUUUAUAUUACUUUUUGAUAAUGUUUUUAGUAAUAGACAAGCGUUCAAAAUCAAUCGAUUAAAAAAACGGUGAUAAAGAAAAUAAUGAUAUAACGAUGUAUAUUAUAGGAUAUGUGGCCGGCGCAAAUAUAAAAAAAUAAAAAUAAGAUUAAAAGAGUAAAAUGAAAACCUACGCCAAACGAAAAAAGCCUCCGCAAUACAAGGAUAUAAUCUACAUUAUACACAAGUGAACAAGACGGAUAACAACAUGCCGCCCAGCAUGACCACGGAAAAACGAAGAUCGGCGAGAUAAUAGCGAAAACAAGAAUAUCAGCGGAACUUAUAAGAUUCGCGCUUAAAUAUAAUAAUUUGUAAUUUAUAUUUAUACAUCUAAAAUUAUUAAAUUAUAGAUUAUAACAGUAUUCUAUUAAAAUAUCUAUAAAUUGUGGUUAAAUUUUUAAAGUUUAUUUAAAUUUAGUUAUAAAUAAAAUACAAUAAUAUAUAACCCUUAUAUAAUUCUGGUCCUCGUGGCCUGACGGCCCGAGGCAUGCCGAGAACAUGGAUAAAAAGGAUGUCACUUGGGCUGUCAAGCAGCGAGAAUUGAAUCGCGGCUGUUAUGUGGCCUAAGACCAUGUGAUCGGCAUAAUAUUUUUUUUACAAAAAGUAUUAUUUAAUAGAAUAAUAAUUUUUUACUUAAUAUUUUUAUUUUAUAAAUUUCAUGACUAUUUAAGCGACUGGAUAAAGCAUGAUCCGCAUCCAAGGGUAUUAUAGUGAUUGGUUUUGGAACCACGUUAAUUUAAGACUAUUUGAUUCAUUUUUAUAUCCGUUUGAUUAUAGCAUUCAACCAACACAUACUGUAACUUAGGACCAUAAUAUACUAACUGAUAUUUUUAUCUAGGGAUUAAAAAUAAAAGCACCAACUUAGCAACAAGCUAUAAUAAUGGAUAAGCAUUCGACUGAUUCGACCAUUUAUAUUAAUCUUUUUUAUACUUUAUUUCUCAUUAAUAAUUAGCUUAUAGUACCUAUGUAUUACACAACCAAUUAUGUGGCAGGUCAAAUUACACAAACCACUUAUUUCACCUAGAAUAAGGGCAUACACAUUGCGAUCAUAGAGACACAUUUCGAUCCAUUUUGAUAAUAUAAUUAUAGCAACAGUAGAAUGCUCAAUAACUGUAGAUUUUUAAAUAGCUUAUCAUAGAACAUACCAAACAUAUACAGAAAACACAUCUAAGAAAGCAGCUGAAAAUAGGAUGCUACUUGCAUCCUUAUUUGCUGGUUUUAUAACUAACAUAUACUGUAAUAGAAAUGCAAUGAAUGCGUUGGCUAAUCAUCACAUGGAUGCCCAUGACCUAAUCACUGAGGUUCGACUUUCAGAACAGGUAGGUGCCUGGUGACGAAUUGCAUUUAAUGGACUUCGACUUGCCCAGAUUGUAAGUGGGAUAGAGAGAUCCAUGGCUAUUACAUAAUCCAAAUGACGAAUGACCAUCUUGCAAGGCGGAUUAUCCGUCACCCAUCUGCACCAUAGUUCCUUAUACGAAAAUUUUUCCAGGCUGUAUCUUCUGCCAGUAACCUAUAAAUGGGAUGCAUGAUUGAGUCUAGUCACAAGUCGUAUAAACACCACCGUCACUUGUAAUUUGAAAGUUUUGCAAUUGGCAUCAGAACAGGGUCGAAGAGUAAUUGGUUUGAUUGAAUCACAGCGUAACAUCAUGCUGGCUUUCGUUGUUGCUGCUUCUCCGCACAUGUGAUAAACUAAGUAAUAUAGGCUGAAUUGCAGGCUUGUCUGUCAGGGGCCUUAUGAAGUUUGAUAAGGUGAGUAUAGCUGCGAUGCAGCCUUGGUUAGAAUAUUAUAAUCGAAGGCCUCGAACUCCCAUCCGCUUUGCACGCGUUAGCUACAGACAAUGAAGUAGUUGCUGCUCCGAUAAAUAAUAUAAUUCCCAGCUUUGAUCUUGUAGAUGAUCUACCGUCGCAAUUGCACGAAUGACCCCAGCAGACUGUGCGAACAAAGUAUAAAUUCGUGUUAGCUAACGUUAGUGUAAAGCAAAAGUAUAAAAAAAAUAUAUAUUAGUAGGUUGCAUGAUAACAAAAGAAGAAAAAUUUCAGAACUAAAUUGAUACUAUAGAGGUUAUUAUGCAAAGUACUAGGCUGCUUUUUAACUUGUUUUCGAAUACUAUGUCAUAGCAUGGAUGUCGCCGUUCUUUUGAACUAAAAUAAGUUAAUUUUGGCUAUACUAUUAAUAAUAUUAAUUAUCUGUAUAUAAAUUAGUUAAUAAUAGAAAUUAAAUAAUAUUGAGAAUCGCUAACAAUCCAAUGUAAUUAAAUCAAGUCGCAGUUAUAAUAUAUUAUUAAGUUUUAAGUGUGUUGGAAUAUUUCUUUUUAUAACCAACGAGUAUUUAUGUAAUAUAUAUCUAUACUUUACCAUCCACAUUCCGAUAGAAGUAGGAAUUUUUAUUAAUUAAUAGUCAAUAUUUCGAUAAUUUGCGUUGUAUGCAAUACUGAAUAACAAUGUCCUAAUGGAUGUUUAAGACACUUUUGAUGCCCAAAUAAUGGACUUUGUUGGUUUAUAGUGGGUGAAAUUUGGGUUCGCUGUGCUAAAAAUCGCAGAAGGCAUAUUUGGUGAGAUUUGAAUCUAAAAACAUGUUUAAAGUUAAACUAAGAUAGGUAUGUGUUCUAAGCUGAGAAAUAUUCUUUUGACAAUUUUAUUAUAGUCACAGUAAUCCUUACCACACGCGCAUUGUUUCUUGAAUCUUGUUAGCACCAAGUGGUUCCUCAAUAAAUACUUUGAGGGCACGCAGAUGUCUAUGUAUCAAAGGACACCCACUGCUCUACCCCUCCGAAUUUAGUCGGGCAUGAAUACACACAAAGUAUAAUUGACAGUGCCAAAUCGUUUGUUCGUCGGUAACGAUUGAUCUGGUUCGCGGGUGGAACCGAGCCGAGAAAGUAGUAUGAAUUGUUCGUUUGCAUCUGUUAAAAGGAUUUUCGAUAUGGUUUCCGUUUGUUACAUUAGAAAAUUCUCGAAACGGGUAGCAUUCUUUAUGUUAGUUCUGUUUGAUUAAACUCGCAGGGCUGUUCUGAACUCGCGUACUCGCCACCACAUUUAUUCAAACCUUUCAUCAUGGGUUCCUGGGUUCCGUACAACGAGAAUACCGAUGGCGAAGGACUAUACACAGGAAACAAGAAAAGAAACACAGAUUGAACUUGGAACCAUGCUUAUGUCACUAAAUAUUACUAUAGUAUGAAAUUAGAGAUGAGCUAAAAGAGCUUUUCUAAAGCUAGAAGUAUGUCCUCAAAUGAGCUAUACAUAUAGAAGUUCAAUGCCUUGAAUAGUAGUGUGAAUAUUUAAUAGGUGGGAUUAAUAGUGAAUCCGAAUUAAUUACAUCUUACUAUAUAUUUACUCCGCAUCAAUUCUUUAUAAAUGAUUUAACUCGCACACAAUUAAUCUACUAAGCUGCUUCAGAUACCCUUAGUAAAAUUUUCGUGUAUAAAUCGCGUAUUAUAUGCAAAUUUUUAGAAAAGCGAAUUAAACGUGCAUGUCGCAUUUUUCCAGAAAAAUGUAAAAAAAACGCAUUUUGUUUUAUAAAAAAAUAUGUAUUCAACGCGACCAUAUCGUGAUUCGAGAAUGAUUAGCCAAAAUAACGGGUCGCGCGCGGUCGGUUCGCGGCCGUCGUAUGUCGUCGUCUCUGCUCACGCUUGCUCGCGAAUUUUGAAUCACUGUAAAUCCCUGCUGGAAAAAAAUCCGCCUGAAAGAUUCUUUUCCCAAACACGGUUUCGUAAAUUUCUUUUGAAAAAAUUAAUUUUAUAAUUUUUUUGAAAAAUUGAGUUUGGGAGUCUCAGAAGCUCAGAGAAAUGCGGUUUGGGAAUUGGAGAAAUCGCGGCGUUCGCGAAGAUGUUGCGACAGUUCACGAGGCAAUUUGGCCUCGGUGGACGUAUGAGAGGGCAGAUCCCGGUGACGUCCCUCAUUAGUCAUCUUCGUUCAUUAUAUAUUAUAUAAUUUAUAUUUAUAUACAAAUUUAUUUAUAAAUAUAUAUAAUAUUUUUAAUGAUUUUUUAAUUUUUAUGUAAAAAUUUUAUUUUAGGUUUUUUUUAUAGUGCAUAAACUAGUUGUUAAUCUCUUUAAUUUAUUUAAUUUUAUAGUCUUCUAUUUUAUAUUUCUUAAGAAAUAUGAGUAUUUAUACUAAUAUAAAGUCAUUGAGAGAAAAAAAUUUAUUAAUAGCCAGAAGUUUAUCCCCCAUUUAAUUGGUUGCACGUAUAGAUAUCCAUAUAAAUCAACAUACCGAAUAAUAACCGGAUCUGUUUUUAUAGCCGGUAUUUUCACGAUUUAAAAAUUAAAGACGAAUUUAUAGAAUUUAUAUCCGUACCGAAUUUUUCCGAAUCGAAUAACUAACUAUGUUAAUACCAAAUAGGUCUAAAUUAAUUACAAACAAUCAAAUUGAAAGACCAAGUUCAAGUUGGAUCACCUGAAAAUUAAUUUUACGCACGAGUAAAAUUCACUUUACCCGCACAGCCCACCCUGUAUAUUUAUGGAGUUUUAUAUAUUGUUCUUAUGUAAGAGUUUAAAGGUUGCAUUAACUAUAUAUGUUAAUUUUUUUGUUUUUAUUUUAUCGAUAAGAACUGACAUUAGUUAGCAAAUGAAUUUUUUGUUCCUUUUUAACAAUAAGUCUUUAAAAAAAUAAUAUAAUAUUAUAAGAAUAUUUAUUAUAACUUUUCAAACCGCAUAAUCAAAAGCUGAAAAAUAUUAAAACUAGAAGAAAAUAAAAUUACCUAAUUAAAGUUCAUCAUUACUUACUUCGUCACGAUUUAUUGUUUCCUUCAAAGAUUCUAACAAUCAUUUUCUCUCAAAAUAUCUAGGCAAGUUAAACAUUAUUAAACCAAAUAGUCAAAUCACGGAUUAUAAUUUUUUAUAAUGCAUAAUCUUUAUAUAUAACUUUAGUAAAAUUAUAUAAUCUUAAUUAAAUUUAUUAAAUUUUAAAAUUUUUAUGAAAAAGAUACUUAGUUAUCUGUGUUGUUCAUAUUUGAGAAUUAUUUUUCACCAAUUUUUUUAACUUAGCGAAGUGUACAAAUUUGUAUUGAUUACGAGAAUGCCAAAUUCGAGCUAAAUUUUUUUUUAAAUGAAAAUAAACGAAUCAUUACCCAUCUGCUAUAAACAUAGAAGAAUUUCUUUUGACAAAAUCUACUAGAUGUAGACAUGUUGUUUACGUGUGCAAACGUUAGUUUUUGUCUCUUAUCAAUUCUUAUAAAAGUCCAAUGGAGGGGCAACUUUAGCCGUUUGGUUGUGAUGUAGUUAUAAAAUGGUGUAUGUUUUGAAGUAUACACCAAUUGUAACAUUUCCAUUUUAAUAACUACAUUUAGUAUGUAUUGAUUUAAUAACAGUUAGCACUGCUAGUUAUAUUUUCUUCAGUUUGAUAGUAUGGGCAGUUGAGAUUUAAAUUUAUAAAUUCUAAUCAAAUUUUAGAUAGUAAAUGUGAGAUUAUUCUUUGAGUGAUAUACGUAAAUCACUAUUUAAAUAUUAAUUAAAACUUUUAUAUUAAUAAUAAUUAUAAUUAUAAAUUUGUAUAUUGAAUUUAACUCAUAUUAACUGUAAAUAAUAUUAAUAACAUUUGUUCGAAAUAAAAAUUAAGAUAUUAUAUAACUAAAAACUAAAAAAUAGAACGUAUGAAAAAAAAUUUAUAUUGAACCUAACAAAAUAUUAAAAAUCCUAAUCAGAUUAUCAUGAAAUAUGUUUUUUGAAAAAAAAAAUAAAAAAAGAAGUAUAUGAAAAAAAUCAAUUUUGUUUAUUUUUAAAUAGGUGAGUUGACUGCUGGCUCAAAACCGCUGUAGUUGUACUACGCAUUGGCCGUAUUGUAAUGCUUAAUAAAGUUGUUGGGCUUCUCAUAGCAGAAUCAAUGCAGUAGUAUGGUUCUAAACUACACAUAAACAAACAAAAAAUUAAUAGAUGAAUGUAUUUUCAACAUGAAUGCAAUUGAAUAAUAUCAUGCCAAACAGCAAUCAGCUAAUUUAUUUUUAAAUGCAUAAACGAAAGCGAUACCCAUCUUAAAAAAAAGAAAAUUGUUUUGCAAAACCGUGCGAGAUGUGGACCAUUGCCCACGAGAAUAGACUGAUAAAGACUUGCAUAAUGAAAAAAAGCUUUAUAUUUAAAUUUGAAACGUGAUAUUGUCACAGAAAUUUUUAUUAUAAAAAAAUUAGCACACUUCUCACUUCAUUUAUUAAGGAAUUAAAUUAGACUACAAUGAUGAAAAUCGAGCGAGAGAGAUGAGGGAAAAAAAUUUAAUGUCAGAAUACUUAUUUUGCUUAUGCAAGAUUUUUUAAAAAAAGUUAUGAUAGCUUAUGUAUUAUUAAAAAUAUGCCAAUGCAUCAUAAUUGGCAUUAAAUAAUAUACAUUCAAUGGUCUUUUAAAAUGGUCAUAAAUAUUAAUAGUAAAUACCCGUGAUUAGUCAUAUCAAAAAUUGUCAUUAAUUGUUAUAAAAUAUUAUUGUUUAAGCAUUACUCGCUAGUAUUCCACGUCCAUACAUAACCCGCCUCCCAUCCUCACACCCCCAACUAACUAGCGCAUGAGACGAGCAGAUGCGCCCCUCCCCGCCUCCAUCCCCCAUUCCCAGCCCCCCACCUGAUCCCCAAUCGUUCCCCCCCCCGAACCCUACUCCCCCCACCCCCCUCAUGUAUAAGAAAGAGGGGGAGGAUUAUAGGAGAGGGAGUUUGAUUGGCAAUUACAAAAUACACCAUUAAUUUGGACGGAGUUAUAAAGCCGCAUUGAUUAGUAUGGGGGCCCGGAUUAUGUAGGCCUAGGAGGGAGUGAACUGGAUUAUAAAGUCAUCAUUAGUAGAAUAUAAUGUAUAAUUAAUUAUUCCAUAAUUAAUUAUUAAUUAAUUUAUCUCGAGUGAGUGCUAGGAAAAUCACAUUGCAGAAAAACAGAAAAAGAUAAUGAGGAAGGUAGCUGCAUUUUGGAUAAAAAUCGAGGUUUAAUAAAUUAUAGAAGAUUAUGAGAUUUAUAGAUAAUAUGACAAUAAUUAUGUUGUUCUUCCAAAACUGAAAAAUGAUACGAAGCAUGAGGAACUAAGUUUAAAUCUUAUAAUACUAAUUAUUUAAUCUUUCAUCUAACUUAGUUAAUCAAGUCAUAUUUUAAGUCUAGUUAAAACAUCUCACUAAUACAAGGAAUGAGUGUUGAUUUAAAUAUAAAAUAUUGCUUUUUAUAACUUAAGUUUUAGAGAUAAAUAAAAAUAAUAAAAAGUAUACCGAACCAAUAAAUCUAUUGAGUUGCCCACUUAAUUAACAUUAACUAAUCUAUAUUCUUAAUCUUAAUCAUAAUCAAGCGUAUUUCUAUUUUUUAUCGAUUUUUAUGUUUUUUUUUGCCAAUAUAUAGGAGGCGAUUAAUACUAAUUACAUUAGAAAAUAAAGAACGUUAACAUUAUUAUAUAUUUAAUAGCAACUUUUCAUCAAUAGAAUGCUGCAGUUACCAAAUGGUGUCCUAAAUCUAGAUAGACAAUCCAAAAUAUGAAAGCCCGAGUAGAAGUUGCAACUAAAUUUAAUUUUAAAUGCGUAACUUCAAUUUACUACUCCAAAUAGAUUUAGUAAUUUUUAUUUUGUGUUUCUGUACUCAAAAGUUGCCUUAUUAUAUAUAUUUUAUUAUUUUACAAUAAAAUUAAUAAGUUAGGAAAGUAAACUUUAUUUAUAAAAAAAAAAUCAUUAAAGUAUAUCCUGUUAACAUAAGGGUAUGUUUGGUUUACUUUUGAUCCGAAUGGGAAUCGGUUGAUAAAUCCAUGCGAAAUUGUAUUGUUUAUUAGGAAUCGGUUUGGGACUUCUCAUUCUGAGAUCGGAAUAUGGAAUGGUCCAUUAUCUUACAAAUAAGCAAGCAAUUUAACCCGUGCAAUGCACGAGUUAUAACUUAAUAUUGAGAAUUGUGAUUUAAAGAAAGUUAAUGGUGCAUGAUAGAGUUUUUAUCUUGAUAUUUUAAGUAUAUCUUAUAUUUCAUGAAAUCUGAUGUUACAUUUUGAGCAAGAAAUCUUCAAAUAGCAAGUUUUUAAGAAAGAAUAUAAAUCCUUUAGAGCUUAAUGUUCAUAAGAAAAAGUUUUAAGAGUGAAUCCAUAAUGAUUAAAGUAAAGGAAAAACAAAGUGAAUGUAAUAUUUAGACGUGUUAAGAUAUUUAGAUGAUAUAUGGGCAGGAAUGAAAUGCCAACGUCCUCUUAAACAAUAUCGAUUGUAAUAUAAUCACUAUAGUGAAAAGAAAUUUAGAAGCUUGACUUCUCACUCUAGUUUUAGGGUUUUUUUUGUUAUUUUUAUUUUUUUUAUAUUUUUUUAUAGACUAUUUUACAAUUGAAAUUUCUUAUCGAAUCCUGCUUUAAGCGUAAUUAGAUAUGAAAACAGUCAAUUUUCUAAAAAGUUCUGAUGGGAAUGUUUAAUUUGAAAAGCUUUUAACAUAAAAGUAUAAGUUAAAAUCAUAAAAAUAUCAAUAUUGAAAUGGUCUAAUGUAGGUUUUUGAAAGGUAAGUUCAUAAUAUGAAAAAGUUAAAGUUCAAAUACAUUAAAAUUUAAACAUCUUAAUUUUGUUUUUUUUAAAUAUUCAAUUUGAAAUGUGAAUGAAAUUAAACUAUCAUCAAUCCUUUACGACUAAUUCUGUAAAGUUAUAUUUUGAUAGAGAUUGCCGUGACCUACAUUUAGAAAGUAGUUUUUAGAACAUCUUGUUCGUAACACCGACUUCCAAGGGGUCCCAUCUAGACUACUCCGUCCUAGCAUGCUUAACUUUAUUAUCUCUUGGCUGCCACAUCCAAAUGCUUAGCCGGGUUAAGAGUUAUACCUAUAAUAUAUCAUAUAUUGGACUAUCAGGGUCUCACAAUUCCCUCCUUUUUAGCCUGACGUCUCGAGCAGGCUAGACUCACAGUCGGUGAUGGGGGGGGGUCGGGUGAAGCGAUUGAGACUCAUACUCGCUACCGUAUCCAGACCUCACCUCAGCCGAGCUCAUUCAACUUCCGGCUGUAAUUGCUCUGAUACAAAUGUAACACCGACUGUCCAGGGGUCACACAUCCUAGGGACUAAUCCGGUCCUAGCACGCUUAAAUCUCUUAACAUCUUGACCUUGGCACCAGCCAAAUGCUUACGGUUAAGAGUUUAGCUCCUAUUAUAUAUAUAUAUUGACUAUCAGGGGUCUCACAUUUGUAGCAUAAUUCAUAUUAUGAUUCUUUAAACUGAAAUUGCUUGUUAUUAUGAAUAUUAAUGGAUGUAUGAUCUAUCAAUUAUUUCUGGCAAAUAAACUUGACUAACAGUGAGAAUAGUGCCAUGAACUUGUAAUAAAUAUUGAAUUAUAAUAUUUAAAGUAAAGAUUUGUAACCGUUUAGUAUCAAAAACAGCGAAGUUGAAUAUGCCUCAUGCGAAGAAACGAAAAAAAAAUGUUAACGAAUUGGCAUAAGAAGCAAAAAAAACAAGAAAGCCCAAACAUAGAUUGAUGCCGAGUGGGAGGGGGUGGGGGAGAUGUGUACGAAAUCAUUUGUAAAUUGUGCGAAGAUAGAGAGGAAUUACAUCCAUAUUGUAAAAAAAAACCUAGAAAACCAAUGAAAUCAGAGUAAUUAAUUGUGGAAGUUGAAUAAGCUCAAGAAUUAAUAUUUUUAUUAAUUUGUAUUACCUUUAAUAGAGCAAAAUUAGAGAAUUACUGGAAUGUGAUAGAGAGGCGGAGGUGGAAACGUUUGCAAGGCGGUGGAGAGGCGCCAUCAUCGGCGAUAUUAGGACGGAAGCUAGUAAUUAGGGGGGAAAGAAUCCUUGUAGUUGGGAAAAAAAAAAGCUUUAAUAUCCAUAGAAUAAAUAUAAGAAAAUGUGAAAUAAAAAUAUCUGGAACAUAUUUUAAUACUAAUUUUGGUUUUUAAAAAGUAGAAUGUGAAUUAAAAAUGACUUAAAAAAUUAUGGAGACGCAUAUUUAACAAUUAUAUUUUAUACUUAUUUUAUUUUAAAAAAUAAUAAUUAGCUAUUAUAUAUACAGAAAAAAUAUAAAAAGAAUAUCAAGUUUCAAUAUCAAAAUAUGUUGGUAUUAUGGUUAUGAUUUCUUCUAAUUACUUAAGAUAUUAUAUAUAAUAUUUGUAAAAUAUAUAUAUAUUGGUGAUAAUUUGUAUUUUAUUAUAAAACUGCGCCACGUGGCAUAUAUGGAAUUCCUAUGUAAUUGGGCACUGGCAGCAUAAUGGUUCACUGAAAUGCUUCCAAAUUAUAUUAAUAUAUAUAUAGAUAUUAUAUAUAUAUAUAUAUAUUACUAUAUUAUAUAAAUUAUAAGUAUAGGAUGUGGAGGGCUACUAUGCUAUCGUGAAGCACGGAGCUUCCUAGCUUCAGCUCGUUUUUCGAUUGUUCGCGACUUUCGAAUCGUCGAUUCGGCCCGCUCCGUUAAACUUGAUCUAAGAGUAUUUGAAGUAUAUAGAAAAGUAAAUUUUAUGAUUUUACGAUAUCAUUUGUUAGUAACGAAGGGUUGAAAAUCAAUGCUGAAAAUAAAUAAUAAUUUACAAAAUGUAAUAAUUUGACGUAUUAAAAAUUUAAAUCAAAGAUUCUGAUCUAUUUAUAUAGUAAUAAAGAAUUUUCUAUCAAAAUUUCACGUGGUUUGAUAUAUUCUACAGAACGCGUUAAUCUUGCAAACGCUCACUACGGCCAUUAAAUUGUUGAUUUUGAGCCUACUCGAUUCACUAGGCAAAUAUAUCUAAAACAAUAAAAUUUAUUAUUCUAGUAAUCCAAUAACCUAGAUUCAAAGGUUUAUAUGGAUGCCAGAUCGACGAUUAGAUAAAAGUGGAAAUCGAAACAAGGUGACAUCACGAAGGCUCGUGUAUCCGAUAUGCCUAGUAGCCUACACUCUAAUAGUAAUUAGUAGUAUAUAUAUGAUAGGUAAUAUGUAUACUCGAGUCAUGAUUCGGUCUCAGGCCAGGACCCGGAUUGAGUUUCAAUUUCCAAGGCCAUACUCAGCUCUUCCUCAAGCAGUACGCCCAACUUUGCUCAUCUACUCAUUCUUAUUCUCCAUAUACACAUCUUUUCCUCUUUGUCAUCAUUUAUAAAACUACAUGAUAUAUUUAAUUUUGUUAUUAAUUAUUCAAAAAAAUAUGCUUUUUUGUAAUUUUUUGCAUAUAAUUUUUAAAAUAAAUUCCUUUUUUUUUUUGCAUAGCUCUAAUUUGAGAAUAGUAUUAAUUUUUUUUUAUAAAUUUUAGAUAGUUUUUAGUAAAAUUUAUAUUAAAAGUAAUUAAAUUAUUUAUUCUAAUUAUUUUUUACUUUGAUGAAUCAUAGUAAAAUAGGCAGUAAAUUGGCAUACCUUCAAUAUUUCAAUUCAAAAUGAACCCCCCCACCGCAAUGUCGACCAAACGUCUGGAAAAAUAGGCAAUUAAUUGCCAUUUAAAUUCAUUUCUACAUAUUUCAGUUAUUCUAUUAAUUCCAAUCUUGACGGGUGGAAACAAUCUUAAAAUUUAUAUAAUAAAUAAAAUUAAAUAUUAUGAGAAUAGUUAAGUAUGUAUAACUUUUCAAACCACGUAAAAAGUGAAUUAAAAAAUAUUAAACAACAGUAAAAAAAUUAAAAUUACUCGAUCCCAAUUCAUUCAUUUUCUUCAUCCAAAGAUUCUACAAUCUCAUUCUCUCAACGACAUUCGAGUGCAAAUUAAACAUAUAUAUGGUACACCAAAAGUCAAAUCAUGCAUUAUAAUUUUUUAAUGUAUAGUUUUUUUAAACUUUAUAAAAUUAUAUCAAACAAAUUAAAUUUUAAUUUAGAGGAAAAUAUAAUUAGUUACACAUUUUAUUCAUUUUGAGAUCUUUUUUUAUCCCCAAGUAAAACCUAGUAAGAGAUGUAGUGCCAAUAUACAUAUACUGAUCCUUGAAAACGUUUAGAAUGUAUCCGUUAUCUUGAUAAAGUGGCAUCUCCAGUCAAUCAAAGAAUUUUUUUAAAAAUUUAUUCGUUCCAUAAUAAUUAUAAAAAGUAUAAUUUUAUUAUAUAUUUAAAAAUAAUUAUUAUUAAUUUAUUAUUAAUAAUAUGAUAUUAUUAUUAAUAAUGUAAUGUAAGUACGAUUAGGGCUGGCAAACAAGCAAGCCGGCUCGCGUUCGACUCGUGUUCGGCUCGAUAUUCGGCUCGCUCGAGCUCNAAGAUACUUCAAAUGGUAUAUAUAUCAUUUUCAACAAUAUCGAUCGCCGAUUUGGAGGCUCCAUCAUCGACGCUAACCCGAUUCCAAUUCAUUCAUUUCCUUGAUCCAAAAGAUUCUACAAUCUCAUUCUCUCAACGAUAUCUGAGUGCAAAUUAAACAUAUGGUACACCAAAAGUCAAAUCAUGCAUUAUAAUUUUUUAGUGUAUAAAUUUUUUAAACUUUAUAAAAUUAUAUCAAACAAAUUAAAAUUUAAUUUUAAAAGUUUUUAGAGGAAAAUAUAAUUAGUUACACAUUUUGUUCAUUUUGAGAUCUUUUUUUAUCCCCGAGUAAAACCUAGUAAGAGAUGUAGUACCAACAUGCCUAUGCUGAUCCUUGAAAAUUUUUAGAAUGUAUCCGUUAUCUUGAUAAAGUGGCACCUCCAAUCAAUCAAAGAAUUUUUUUAAAAUUUAUUUGUUCCAUAAUAAUUAUAAAAGAUAUAAUUUUAUUAUAUAUUUAAAAAUAAAUAUAAUUAGUUUAUUAUUGAUAAUAUGAUGUUAUUAUUAUUAUAUUUUUUUGAGAGAAAGAUAGUAUACUAUUAUUUUAUUUUUAUAUCAUUUAAAAAUAAACUAAACUGAAAAUGUAAAUUAAUAAAUAAUAAUAUUAUUAAUGAUGUGAUGUAAGUAUGAUACAGUAAAUUUUUUUUCCGCCAGGCCAUCUAUAAUUCCUUUAAGGACAAAUAACUGCAUGCAGUUCAUUCUUUCUAUAUUAUUAGGAAGCAUUUUGCUCGUCCUUUGUUUGGACAGAUGCAAUCAUGAAUGAGGGGGCCCCGACAAACCUUCACUCCGUACACAAGGGUUAUUGCAGCUGAUGUGUUGUUUAUUGGAAUCUCAUAAAUUAUUAAUACCGUCCAGGCUCUCUUGAGCGAUUAGUCUCUAUCCAAAAUAAUCGUGAUAGUUACAAAAUACUUAUUGUAGCAUUGCCUAUUAUAUGUCAUUUGUGUCGCUUAAAUAUUCUAUAGCUGAUAUUCGAAAUUUUUUGAAAAUGCCCUCUAGAUAUUUUAUCAAUAAUUUUCAUCAUCACGCAUACAUCACAUAAAUAAUUUAAAAUUUAAAAUUUAAAAUUAAAAUUCAAAAUUUUAAUUUUAAUUUAAAAUUUGAUACAGAUCUGAAUUUAAAUUUUAAAUUUGAGUUCAAAUUUUGAACUUAAAAUUGCAAGUCAAUUUUAAAUCUAAAUUAAAUUUGAAAUUCAAAUUCAAAUUUAUAUUUUGAAUUUGAGUUUCAAAAUAAAACUUUGAAAUUAAAUAUAAAACUAAUUAAAAAUCUAGAUUUGAAAGUAAAAUUAGCAUAAAAUCUUAAUUUGAAUUCAAGUGAAUUUGAGUCCUCUUCGAAUCCAAAAUCAAAAUUUUAAAUUUUAAAUUUAUAAUUAAAAUUAGAUUAAAUUAAUAUUAAAAUUCAAAAUUAUAAUGUAAAUUUGAGCGAGUCUAUGAUCGGAGUUUAAAUUGAAAAUUGAAUUAAAAAAAUCUAAUUUAAAUUUUGGAAAUAUUUCGAGAUAAAGUUGAUAUUUUAAAAUUGUAGUAGCAGCUUGGAACUAAGAUUAGGAUAACACCCCGUGACGUGAGAUAAAAUAAGAAAUAUUUAUGAUAUAACUCAUUCUAUUGGAAGAGCAUAUAUGAUAUUUUAAUAUUUUUACAAGUAUCUGCNNNNNNNNNNNNNNNNNNNNNNNNNGUGUUUUUCUUUUCGGUUUUUUUGAAAGCAAAUUGUUCGAAUACUAAGGAGCCGUUUUUUCUCGGUUUUCCGCUUGGUUCACAUGGAUAAUAAUAUGGCUAUAUCCGGCCGAAUUACUAAACACAGUGUCCACCACGGGGUACUGUAAGAUAGAAUCAAACUCGAGUAAAGGUUAUAAAAAAAACAUCCUCAAAUUCUCUUCACUUAUUCCAUAUUAUUGGCACAAAAAUAAAUUUUACUUGCACCAACAUUGUCACUCGCCUCGAGACCUCGCCACAUUGUCACUAACAACAAUUAAUUUCUGACACGCGAAUUUUCUCGCCUAAAAUCAAUCUCAUUUCUUACACAAAAUCUAAAUUUCUGUUUCCAUUCUUCUAAUCCAAUACAAAAUAGUAUUUUACCUAUUUUAUUUACAUCUUAUUUUAUCUUAUCCGGUAUAUUAGCCACUGUAACAUCUUGUGCAAUCAUAAAGUGGUGACAGGUACAAGGAAUGCUAUUCUAACUUGCCACGAAGUGAUUCAAAGUCAUACCUUAUUAUCGUUAUCAGCCCGAGAGACGACUGUCUCGCUGAGAUCAGUAGGAAGAAAUAAGGGAUUUGGUGCUAACGUAGGUAACUCCGAUGAUCCAAAUUCGAACUCUAUUUGAUUCAUACAUUUUAGCUAAUUAUAUUAUAAAUGAAAUAAACAAAGCGAAGGGGUAUUAUGGACUCAAGCCCCUUUGUAGAUACCUCUCAAGAAAAAUAAGGAGCAAACUCAUCAUUCAAAUUAUUCAAAUUAUAUCGCGAUCGAUAUAUACUCAGGUUUUUUCCUUGAAUGCUGAUUUCAAUUGAGAGAGAGAGAAAGCAUCCGUUCUAAAAUUGGAGGGAGGCUGACGAAAAGAUCUGUGCCAAACAUUUCUGGCAACGAGGGUUGGUGAGGGAGGCCUAAAGGUGCCAGAGAGUUUAUGACCGGAGGCUUCAUUAGCUACUCAACUCAAAAUCCUUACUACUAUCGAAAAAAUACUCCUACAAAAUAAUAAAUUAAGCUUCAUGUUAUCGGUGUCGCAUGUCAAAAUAGCAUCCAUCCUAAUCGAUUUGUUUGUUUUUGUUUUGUGUGGUUCAGGUUCUACAUAAAAUUUGCAAAUACCCUAUAACAGGAAAUAUAAAAUACCAUGAUUAAAGCGGGGAACAUUAAUGAAUUGUCAGAAAACUUUGAGAUAUAGCCAAUAGAAAUCAUAGGCAAACAUUACCGAUAUACAAUUUAUCCCUAUAAUCACGUUUAUGCUCUACUAGGUUACUUGCCCAUAGAUUAAGCAUUCCUGAUUAGUAAGGCGUGUGAGCUCAUCACCAGAAUCCUAUAUCAACUUCUCCUAUUUUUUUUUCUCUUAUCUCUUUCUUGAAUCUAAUCGGUUUUUUUUAUUUUCAUAAUUACUUUGAACAACCGAACUGAUCAUGGGUUCGAGUGGUAGACUCCUCUGAAAACCCGCUCAUUAAGUAUUUUAGUCACACGCUAUACUCUUCUCACCUUUUCUUUACUACGUGAACGAUGUGCUAAUUUCUCUCGUUCUUACCUGAAACGAAUUAUAUCAACUCGUGUUCCAAUCUGGGGUGCUAGAACCAGAGCCAACUGCUCCCACAUGUUUCCCAUCUUUGAACCAAUUUUUUCUUUUUUUUUAUUAUUUAUAUCGGAUCAAUCUCACUAUAGAGUGUGGUUUAUAUCCCAAUAUCCCGUCUCAAGCUUUUCUUGUUUUGUUGCUUGAAUCGAAUCGUAUUUUUUUUUUUUUUUGCAUUGAACGCAAACUGGAUCACAACUUCUGCAUUAAACAAACUAUAGUCUUUUCCUCUUCUUCAACUUUAUCUCGUUUAUCACAGCGGGAUAAAUCUCCUCAUCCGUCACUAGGUUCAUUGUCGUUUACUUCUUUGCGCCGUUUUUAGUUUAUUCCUCUUAAUUAUCUCUAUCACAUCCGCAACAGCUCAAAAUCGCACGGGUUACUAUACUACAUAUCACCGUAUGGUAAUAAAACUAAAUAUUUUAAUAACAAGUUAAUGAACGAGGCAUUUUUUCAAUCAAGAAACUAUAUCACUGGAGCUAUUACACUUAUAAUAUUUAUGACAUUUAAAAGAGCACGAAUAUAUUAUAUUUUACAAGGGGAGCUUGUGAUGUUAAGUACAUACGCGUGGCGUCUUAUAAGAUUUUUUGUCAAAAAAACUUUCAUAAUGCUUAAACACUAUCACUGAACAAUAGUAUUUUAAAUUAAGAUAAAACUUUUAAUCCUGGGCACGUCUCUUAUCAGCUCCUUAUAUUCCCGUGUGCAACAACUGCUCCAUACAUUUGAAUAACACACAUCACUUGUCAAUAAAGUCUGUCCCCCAUGCCUCAUGCGACUUUACCUCAAUGCUAUUGAUAAGAGACAAAAUAACGGUUUGCACACGUACACCAUUGGUCUACAUCUAAGUUUGAUUUUGCCGAAAAAAUACGCAUUGCACGACGUACAACAUUAAACACUUGGUUCAUACAUCUAGUGCGGUUUCUGGCCAAAUAAUAACCGUUUCCGACGACAGCACUACUAUUUGUGUCUUUAAACAUGGGUAGGUGUGAGAGAGAGGAGAAUUUCACUGUUUUUUUUUAAGACGAUGGGGUAGGUUAGGAUCUACUUCGAUUUGUUUAUUUAAUGAAAAAUAUAAUUUAGUUCGAAUUUAGAAUUUUCGAAUACGCGAACCACCAGUGCGUCUUUAUUAUUGCCCUAGUAAUAUCGUGCCAAAAAGAAAAUUCUCAAAAUGAACAAAACGAAUAACUAAUUAUCUUUUCCCCUAACACAAUUUGAAAACAUUAAUUAAAAUUAAUUAAAUUUGAUAAUAAUCUUAGUUAAGAUUUUAAAAAGAUUAUACAUUAAAAACAUUGUAUAAUCCGUGAUUGAUUAUUGGUUAAUACAUGUUUUAAUUUGCACUCAGAUAUCGUUAGAAAUGAAAUUGUAGAAUCUUGAAGGAACAAAUGCAUGAAUCGGGACUGAGUAGUAUAAGAAUUUAAUUAGGUAAUGUUUGUAUUUUUUUAGGGCUCGUUUAAUUAUUUUUUCCAGCAUUUGUUAUUAUGCGGUUUUGAAAAGUUAUACUUAACUAUCCUAUAAUAUUAGAUAUUUAUUUUCUUGUAAAGAGACUUAUGAGUGUUAAACAGAACAAAAAAUUCAUCAUGCUAAAAACUGAUGUCAAAAGUCUAUUUUUGAUAAAAAUAAAAUAAAAAUCGACAUAGAAUGUUAAAUGCAACCUUAAAACUACAUAACAACAAGUGAAACUCCACUAAAUUACAGGGUAGGGGUUGGGUAUCGAAUUUUCUCUAGUAAAUGACUUAGUGCAAACUUAAGAACUUAGGCUUCCUUAGUUGAUUGCUUUAACUAAGGACCUAUUUGGCGUACUUGUAAGUCAUCUAUGAGUUGAAACGCUGGUUGGGAGUUAAAGUCAUAUAAAGAUUACUGAUCAUUAAUUUCUAAAGUUGAACAGUACGGAAUGAAUAUACAAAGUUUAUUAUAAUGAAAAAAGUCUAAUUUAUGAAAAGAUGUAAACAUUAUUUAUUAUAAUAAAAUUUAAGUAAUUAAAGAUGAGUUUUAAUAUCUAUCUACUAACUACUAGAAAAAAUUACAUGUAAAUACACGUAUAAUAAUUAUUAAAAAAAGUAUAAAUUUUAUAAUAUAUAUUUCAUAAUUAUUAGCCCAUAAUUAUAUAUAUGAAUUGCCAGAUAUGUAAUAUAAAAAUUAAAAUAAUAAAUCAGCUAAUAUAAAAAAGAAUUGCUAUUAAAUGAACAAACUAAUUAACAAUAAAUCAUUAAUACAAACAAUACAUAUUAUAAAAUAUCUCUAAUUGGCAAAAAUUAUUAUAAAAUUAAAACUAAAAAUAAAAUCUGUUAGAAAUAAUUUACAUUAAAUGAAAUAAAAUCACGUUAUAUAAGAAAAUAAUAAUAUUGAAUUAAAUAGAAAAUAUCUAAAAAAGAUAUUUAAACUAAACAUAAAAAUAAUCUUUUAUAGAUAUUUUCAGCACACCGUAAUCUGUUAUAGACCGAUAACUUAACAUUGAAUUAAAUAUUAUAUUAUAAAGAUCUUCUAAGAUAUCGUAUAGACGCCUCAUGAUAUCAACACGCUGUAUACUUACAUCUAAUAAAAUAAUCAUUUAUUCUUAUAUAUAAAUUUUCGAAUCAGCAAAAAGAUAUUCUAAUUUAAAAUUUAAUCGGUAAGAAAAUAUCUUAUAUUAAUAAAAAUUCGUACGGCAAAGAGAAAAAUGGCGCUAAAUAUUAUUCAACAAGUGAAAAAAUUAGGAUCAGAUAGACAGCAGUCCAAAUAUUGAAUAUACCGUGCUUUUAUAUAUAGUAAUAAUAUAUAUAUAUAUCAUAUAUAUAUACGUUAUGGUUGGACGUGGCAAAAGCUACUAUUACGUAGCAAAAUCUCUAUAUGCUGGACCAGUUUGUUUAAGCUUUUGGGAUCAACUCUUUCAUUAUUCUCAAACAAUUGGAUUGAAAUACUAUAUAUCCAUUAGAGACGCCAACUCAACCCCAGGGGGACACUUCAACUAUAUUAUUGACUAAUAUCAUCCUACCUCACAAUUUUUCAUCGCAAGUUAAAAACUUGAUAGCAAAUAAGAGCGUUUUACUAUUAAUAGAUUUAGCUAAUUCAUAUAUAUCUGAGUGGGUGAAUUAUGCUACUAUACUGCAAUAAGUACCAGCCCUUGUAACGUAUGAGUUUUGGCCGUUGGAUGAAAGGAGUGCGGUUAGUUUGAUAGUGUCCUGAGGUCAGUGGUCGUGCGUGGGGCUUAAAUAGUAUACGUCUAACGGUGGAAAUAAUCAAAGAGUACAUCGUGCUAACGGUAAAAACUCAAAUAGACCAAAGGCUUGGUACUAUCCAUAUACAGUAGCCGGACAUCAUAUAGUAUAUGUAUAUAUAUAUAUUAACAUUAGAAUUCGGUAAUGCGUCUGGUACUCCGGCUUUUUUUCCUGUGGGAUUUUGAGAAUUCGCCACAAACCCGCUCGAUACCAGAUGUACCGUGGAUUCGAGCCGUGAUUGUUGGUCUCGAUUACACAACGAAAGCUCGAAUCGAGAAUUUUUUACUAUAAACUCGUAUUCCUACAAAAGCUGAUACUAAUUCACAAAAAAGAUAAAAAACCAAAGCAAGUGCGAAAGAUCGAGGUGGAAAGGCUGGCAGGGGUUUCAAGCCUCCGCUCUUUGCCCCUCCGCUGGCUUCUCGACGAGAGACAUAAAAAAAUAAACAGAGAGAAAAAAGAGGAGAAGAAAGAGGAGAAGAUAAAAAUAAAUAAAGUUUUAGAUCAGUUUGCUGGAAAAUUCAAGCCGAAGUCUACAAAAACACGAAAAAACAGUCACAUCUUUGCAAAAAACCCAAAAAAAUAGUGAAUUUUUAUGCAAAUUGCCUUAAUUUAAUAAUUCCAUCUUCACUUAUUUGACAGUUAAAUUUUACUUACCAACUACUUAUUUAUAGUCGAUUCUUGUGCAUAUAAAAAUAGGUAAGUCUAAGCCUAUCCUUUUUAAUGAUUAUUCAGAUAUAUUUUAUCAAAGGUGAAAUCUGGACAGCUAAAAAUUCGAUCCCUUCAGAUUUUUGGCGAAAUUGUGGGGGAUUUUCCCCUAAAAUAGGUAACUUUUUUUUGCUUAAAGUGCUUGUAAUUCUGUUACUUGCAUUAAGAACACUGUCUAAAAUUAGUAACUACAUAAACCUCUGUCAAGGGGAUCAUUUUCAAUUUUGAAAUGCGGGACAGUCUUCAUAACUAAUUCUCAAACAACUCUUAAACACCGCAAACUAUAUAUAUAUAUAUAUAUAUAUAUUAUUGUUUAGAAUAUUAGCUGCUUAUAUAGUUGUCCACAUUUCACACUUGGAUCUAUAAUGUGAUUUGAAUACUCAUAAAAGGUGAUUGAUAGCAUACAAAAUUAUCCACUUUUAACAUGCAAAAGACAUAUAUAGACUGUACGUAAAAUUUACUUUUGUCUCAAUAAAUGAAAGAUGAAAUGGUUAAUUUGAUUUGAAAUUUUGUUUUUCUCCUGUUCAACUCGUUACGUAACUUUAUUUUCUGUAGAUAUAUGAGAUUUGGGUAAAUUGCACUCCAUGUCUCUAAACUUAAAUUUAGUUUUUCUUCUUUUUUUUUUCUUUUUUUUUUUAUGGAUAGGUAGCAUGCUACCCGCUUCGUUUUAUUUUAUUUAGAAAUAAACUUAGCUGGAAAUGUGAAUCAAUUAGGAUUCGAACUUGGGUCUCAGAUACCAAUCACCAAGCCUUUUUCCACUUCUAGGGACGGUCGGUUAAAUUUAGUUUUUCCACUUCUAAGGACGGUCGGUUAAAUUUAGUUUUAAAACUUCUAAAUUUUGUAUAUUUUUAAGACCGGACUAUUGAUUAUUUGAAUUAUAUCAUUUUAGUCCUUAUUCUGCGUACUCUUUUUUUUUUGAGAGAUAGAUAACAUGCUACCCGCUUCGCUUAUUUCAUUUAGAAAUAAACUUAGCCGGAAAUGUGAAUCAACCAGGAUUAGAACUUGGGACCUCGAGUACCAACCAUCGAGCCCUUUGCCAUUUAUGCUAGGGACGAUCGGUAAAAGCUAGCGUACUCUAAUAACCUUCACAUUAUGUAUACUAUUUUAUUUUUAUCUAAAAAGAAACUAAACACAAGUACUCUAAUAAUAUAAUUUUGUAUUUUGUAUUUCAAUUAUAUGUACUUUCCAUAUAUAUUGACCCUCACGUUACCCCAUAAAUAUUCAAAACAAAUAAAUCUACUAAAAUAUUAUUUUUGAGAUAUUUUCGUAUCAUAAUUUUGCAUGUGCAGGUGCAUGACUUUUCAAAUUGUCUUGGAGCCAUCCCAAUUAUUUUGCAACCAACGUAUUCAAUCCGGGGACAACUCAAAUUUAAUUAUUGGAGCAAGAAAAUGUAAGGAAACCCCUAAACUAUAGGCGACUUUAAAUAGCUCCUUCAAUCUGGUUUAAUUCUCUCUCGUUUAGGAGUGUAAACGAGCUGAACACGAGCUGACUCGUUAAAAUAUCGUGCCGAAAAAUUUAGCUUGUGUUUGGCUCGCUAAUAAACGAGCCGAACACGAGCUGGCUUACAAACAAUAAGUUAAAAGUAUUAAAUUGAAUAUAUAUACAAAAUAAAUAUAUAAAAUUUUAUCCAUUAAACUUUAAGAUUAAUGGGUAUUUUUUCACAUCCUUUUACUCUAUAUCAAUUGAAGUAAGGACUCCUUGCUUUAAGUUCUAAAAUAUUCAAUAGUUUUAUAUAUAGGAACCUGGGGUUUCCCAAACUAAGAAUUACCUAUUCUAAUACUAUGCGAAAUAAUAUGACACAACGAUUGUUCUCCAAAAAUUUAAAGAUGGCUCAGAGGAUAAGGCACUAAUUAAGUUUGAAUCUUAUCGGGCAAUAGGUUCAUCCAAUUUCUUUUUAUUUUAUUUAAUUUAAUUCAAGGUCAUAUUUUAAAUUUAUUAAAACUUCUCGAGCCUAAACAAGAGGUAGAGUGUUAUAUAUAUAUAUAUAUAUAUAUAUAUAUAUAUAUAUAUAAUUCUGCUACUAUACUUUAUGAUAUAUUGUCCUCUGUACUCAUAAUUAUUUCGAUAGAUUCAGACUUCCGAAUCAACGAUCCACAUCAAUUAACUUUAUUAAACAUUUAAAAUUUCUAGAAAUCAAAUUUUUAAUUUUUCACAUCAUUUCACCUUCACUCAAAACUUACAAAAUUGACAAAUUUAACAGCCGGUAUGUAAUACAUUGCUAGUUUAACGGUGUAAAAGAAUUGGAAUAGAUUGAAUUUUUGAUAGAAAUUCUAUUCACUAUCUAAUGAAAGAUUAUAAACUCUAAUCUUAAAUUGAAGGAUCCGAUCAUCCAUUUUUAGAACACCUCGUUCGAUUUUGACCGUUCAUUUUCUGCCCGUUGAUGAUUCUUUAUUGAUUUGGAAAAAUUAAAAAUUUAUUUUUUAAAAUUUCAAAUACUCUAAGUCAUAUUUAAACGGAGUGGAUCGUCGAUUCGAAGCCUAAUCAUUAAAAAAACUUAUGAGUACGAAGAGGUCCAAUACUCAUAAGAGUAUAGUAGCCUUACUAUAUUAUAUAUAUAUUAUAUAUAUAUAUAUAUGUAAUAUAUAUAUAAUAUAGUUGCUUAUAAUUCCUAAUCUUUCUGAAAUAUCCGAUCUACCCCUACUUUUUUUUUCUUUCUAAAAUGCCCUCAUAUGUUCCACCGUUAUUCCAAAAUACCUCCGCAGUUAUCCCUGUUAUGUUUACUUGAGUUAAGCAUGGAUUAAUGUAUACCGCGAGUUAAAAACUAAUUAAAUACCCUAUUUUGCCCCUUACCAUUAUUAAACAAUUUAUUAAAUUAUCUUUUUUUUCUCCUCCAACUUCAUCCUUCUCUCUCUCUCUUCUCUGCUCUCCUCUAACUUGGUCCUGCCCCCGCCGCCCGCCACCGAGCACGCCCAGGCACUCACCACCACCACCAACGCUGCAACCAGCUCCUUCUCGCCUCCGACCUCGCCCCCUAAGACUCGCGUCAUUCGCACAAAAAAAACGGCCCUAGUCCGCCGCUCUCGAUGCGCCUUCCUCCUCCCCGCCGCUUUGCUGUGCCGCGGAGCAAGAGGGCCCCAGCGAUUUUGUGCAGCAAUCUCGUCGCGUUCGUCGUCCCUCCUUUCUGUCACAUUUCGAUCAUCGCUGUGUGUUCGCGGUCGACAUCGUCUCGCACCACGGUAGCAUCAUCGUGCCUUCCACCUCUCGACCCAUCGCUGUGGACGUCUUCUUCGUUCUGAAAACCCAUUCUUGUCUCUGCUUCCCUUCGGGAACAGCCGCUCCAUCACCAAUAUUGCCUCAUGGUCGCCAACCUCGAGGUUUGAGAGUGCGACGGUGUCCGAGGUUGAGGUGUGUCGCGCUGCCGGAGGAGGGGAACGAGGGAGAGGUGUUUAUGAGGAGUCAAUUGGAGAGUUAAUUGGCGAGAGUUAAAACUUAGGUGAUAGUUCAAUUGAGAGUUAAUAGGAUGAAUAGUUAAUUCAUCUGAGAUUAAUUGGAAUACAAGAUAGUCUUCUGUUCUGCAGCUACAAUCUAAGAUUUAAUUAAUUAUUUUUAAAUAUAUUAACUCUUUAUAUUAUUACAUAUAUAUUAUUAUAAUUUAAAUAUAUAAUAUUUACAUAUAUAUAUAAAAAAAAUUAAAAUAAAUACAUAUAUAGUAUAUUAUAUUAUAUAUAUUUAUUAUAAUUAAUCGAAUUUUUAUAUUCCCGAUUUUAAUUGGUGAAUCAUAAUACCCGCGUAAAAAUAAGCUUAUCUGAAUAAUUGCCGAAUCCGGAUUUUUUAGCCGUAUAUUUUCAACAAAUUUAAAAUAAAAAGAUACGAAAAUAUAUCCGAAUUUUAUCCGUACCGAAUUUUUGCCGAAUCCGAAUUAACUAACUAUGCCUCCAACCACCAAGGUUUGUUUAGCUGCGAUCGAUCUCAUUCGUUUAUCUGCUCGCUCCCGACGUGCUUAAUUAAUUAAUUAAAAUUUGAAGGGCAAAUAAGAAAAGUAUUCGCUAUAUAAAGGGUAUAUAAGAAAAGUUAGUUACGGUAGAAGGGUAUAUUAGAAUGGAUAAAAUGGUAAUUUUACAGAGAUAACGGCAGCUCACUAAUGGAACUUAACUCCAGGGAUAUAUUAGAAAAGCUUGGAACAUAAGAAGGGUAUUUUCAAUAUAUAUAUAUAUUGAAACACCUCUCUUUAAUAACUUAAGUUUCUAUAUAUAAAUAAUUGUUUCUCAUCCUUUCAUAGAUUUAACUUUUUUCAUAUUAUAAUAAAUCAAUUAUAAUAUUAUUCCUACGGUUCCAUUAGAAAAUAAUGAAGUAUAUCUUUAUAUGAUUUAACUCCAACCAAGUUUCAUCUACUAGCAUGCUUCAAUACCCAAAUAGGUGCUAAGUCACAAGACAAUCCAAAAUAAGGAAAGCCCAAGUUCUAAGUUGGCACUAUAGUUAAUUUACUGAGUAAAAUUCAGUGGAGUUUUACUUUGUUCUCAUGUAGUUUAAAGGUUGCAUUUAACUAUCAUGUGAUUUUUUAUUUUUAUUUUAUUGAUAGAACUUGACAUCAGUUAAAAAUUAAUUUUUUUGUUCUGUUUAACAAUAAGUCUUUACAAGAAAAUAAAAUUAAUAUUAUAGGAUAGUUAAGUAUAACUUUUCAAACCGCAUAAUAACAAAGUGAAAAAAUAUUAAACAACAGUAAAAAAAUUUAAAAAUUACCUAAUUAAAUUCAUCAUACUUACUCGAUCCCGAUUCAUUCGUUUCCCUUCAAAGAUUCUACAAUCUCAUUCUCUCAACAAUAUCUGAGUGCAAAUUAAACAUGUAUUAAACCAAAAAUCAAAUCAUGGAUUAUAAUUUUUUAAUGCAUAAAUCUUUUAAACUUUAUAAAAUUAUAUCAAAUUAAUUAAAUUUUAAUUAAUUUUCAAUUUUUUUAGGGGAAAAGAUACUUAAUUAGUUAUCCAUUUUGUUCAUUUUGAGAAUUUUUUUUGGCAUCGACUGUCACUAGCGCAAGUGGUAAGGAGUUUGGUGGUCGGUAUCCGAGAUUUGAAGUUCUGACUUAAGUUUAUUUCUAAAUGAAAUAAAUAAAACGGAUAGUAUAUAUGUUAUCUAUCUCUUUAAGAAAAAAAAAUUUUUUGGCAAAACCUAGGAGAUGUAGACCCAAUGUGUGCGUGUGCAAACGUUAUUUUUGGCAAAACCUACGAGAUGUAUACCCAAUGUGUACGUGUGCAAACGUUAUUUUAUCUCUUAUCAAUCGUUAGUAAAGUUGGCAAACAAACUAGGAGAUGUAGACCCAAUGUGUACGUGUGCAAACGUUAUUUUUGGCAAGAACUACGUGAUGUAGACCCAACCCAAUGUGUACGUAUUUUGUCUCUUAUCAAUGAUUAGUAAAGUCGCAAUCGAGAAGGGUACAACUUUUAUUGCAGCUGAUGUGUUGUUAUUGGAAUUAUGGGAGCAUGUGUUGCCCAACGGGAAUAGGACUGAUAAAGACGCGCAUGAAUUAAAAAAGUUAUAUUUAAAUUUAAAAAAUACUAUUGUUCAGAAUAGUUGUUUAGCAUCAUGAAAGAUUUUUUUAAAAAAAAUUUAUGAAUGCCACGCUUAUGUAUUAAAAUAUCACAAUGCCCUCAUAAAUUAAUAAUAUCAUUCAUGCUCUUUUAAAUGGUCAUAAAUAUUGUAGUAAAUAGCUCCAGUGAUUAGUCUCUAUUGAAAAAUCUCGUCAUUAAUUAUUAUAAAUAUUUAUUUUUUUACCAUUAUGUACUACUAGUAUAGUUACCCGCGCAAUGCGGCGGAUAGGUAUUAUCGAAAUAUUAGAUUUUUAAUUCAAUCUAACUCAUCUUAAAUAGAAAUUAUCAAAUAAUUAUAAAAAUUACUGUAAAAUAGAUUAAAAUUAGAUUAAAAAAAUAGAAAAUAAGAAGAGAGAAAAAAAUAAAAAAUAGAGAAACUCUCACUUAAUGUUGGUCUCUAAGAAGGCGAGGCUUGCCAAUAUUUAGUGGUUCAAUGAAUCUACAUUAAUUAGCAAUAAAAUCAAUACCAAGUGUGUUAUUUUGUUAAUUUGAUAUUUAGAUAGAGGGAGUGGUUUCAUUUAUUUAUUUAUUUAUUUAUGAGGAUGAAGGGAUGAAGGGUGGCUUGCCACGUGGCAAGAAAUAUUGUGCUUUCAUUUAGAUUUAUAGAUUUAUAGAUUUAUAGAUUAUAGAUUUAUAGAUUUAUAGAUUUGUAGAUUAGAAUUUUAGGGUGAUUUUCAUUAUUUUAAAGUUAAUAUAUCAUAUUUUAAAAUUGGAAAAGAGUACAACCUACAAAUAAAAAUCCGAUUCUAUUAAAAAAAAAAUAAAAAGUAGAGAUAAGCCGGUNCCGAUUCGAUUAAAAAAAAUAAAAAGUAGAGAUGAGCCAGUUCAAUAAAAAAUCAGUUUCGACACAAAAUAUAUAACAAAAAUAUGUCGAUUCAGCUCAAAAAAAUAAAUAGAAAGAAGAAGAGGUUCAAAAAAGAAUAAUUGAAAGAAGAGAAAAAAAAUCGAAUUCAAAGAAUAUAUAUAACAAAAUAGAUCAGUUCGAAUUAAAAAAAUUUAAAAAAAAAAUAAAAUAUGUAAAAAAAACUUGUUGGUUCGGUUCAAAGAAGAAUAUAAUUGAAAGAAAAGAAAAAAAAAUUAGAAAAAUUUUAAACUAAGGAAGAAGUGCCACGUCAUCUUACACAUUGGGGAUUAAUAAUGACUCAUACCAGGUUCACAUAUAACCCAACCAUACUAAGCCCAUUUGACCCUAACACACACACACACAUAUAUAGGUAUGACUCACAUCAAAAUGACUAACACAAACCAUGCAAACCUACGUGCAUGGGCCACCACUUUAACAGUUAAAAACACCAUACACCAUUUCUCGAUUCUAGUGGGAUGCUGGCCCUGGAGAGAUAGACGCCGGGGCCGGCGGCGGCGGCGGCGUUGACGGGUCGGAGGAAUCAUUUGCUGGAUAGCAGUAGCCGCGCAGUAUGUCUCCUUCUUGAGCCGUGAAGCCGAGGGACGCCAGCAAGACGUCGGUGGCCCAACAGUGAUGCUCGAUGACGCGAAUGGCCCGGCAGCAGCUCGGGCCCAGGUACGUUUCACCGUUGAGGAAGAAGAGGAUUACCUCCCCCGUGCACGACCGGAGCUCCACCAGCGAGUCCCAGCACUGCUUCAUGCCGUCCGACUGCAGGCGGGCCGAAAGGCCGAUCGGGCCGAUGGGCCGAGCCUCCGACGACGUCGGAGUGGGCACGGUUGUGAGGGAGGAUGCUGCGAGCAAGAUAAAAAUAGAUUGUUUGAAGAGAGAAGCCAUGAGAAACUUCAGUGGAGACACUUGUGAGUGAUCAUAUGAAUUGAUAGAUGUUCAUAAAAAUAUUCAUAUUUAUAGAGGUGGAAUCGAUCAAUAAAUAUGAAUAGGAAAAUGAAAAGUGAAAGGGCAUGCAUGCAUAUAUACGUUUUAAGGAAUGUAAGAAGGUCUCUUAGAUUGAGGUGUAAUAAUAAUUAAUCAAUUAAUGGUGGUGGGAGAAACAAAAUUAAGGAAUUUGUAACAUCUUAAUUAAUUAUUAAGGAAUGUGGAGGGUUUUUAAUUAGCUAGUGGAAAAAUUUGGGUCCUAUGUGGACUCGAGCCCAGUUAAGAUUUGGAUAGAGCCAGGUUAAUUUUGUUGAUUGGUUGUUGGAUUUGGGUCAAGAUAAAACCAACAAUAAGCCCUAACCUAGUGUUUGACUCCUGAAAAAGUGUGGAAAAUUAUUUUUAAAAAAUUUAUUUGUUUAUUUUUUCAUGAAAAACACAUUUCUCCAUAAUUUUUUAUUUCUCUGAUAAAAAAUUUAGAAAAGUAAAGUACUAUUUUUUAUGAAAUCUGAAACGAAUGAAAAUUAUUUUUUCAGUUAGAAAAUUAUUUUCACAAAUAAUUUAUAGAAAAAAACUAAACACCUCCUAAGAGAUUUAGUAUUANAAAGUAAAGUAUUAUUUUUUAUUAAAUCUGAAACGAAUGAAAAUUAUUUUUUCAGUUAGAAAACUAUUUUCACAAAUAAUUUAUAGGAAAAAACUAAACACCUCCUAAGAGAUUUAGUAUUAAUUAUGAGGUACAUAUAUAUGAAUAGUUAGCUUAAUGGAGAAUAACUUGAGAAGUAAAAGAAUCAUUAGAAACGGUAACAUUAUUCUUUGUCACAAUUACUGCAUUAAGGAUUAGUAACAUCUCAAUCAUUAAUAAGCAUGCUCUAUAAUUGAAAGAAAAGAAAAAAAAAAUUAGAAAAGUCCUAAACUAAGGAGGAAGCGCCACGUCAUCUUACACAUUGGGGAUUCAUUAUAUGUAAUAGAUUAGUAUAGUAACUCAUGUGAUGUGAUUAACAAAUAAUUAAAGAAAAAAUAAAAAACGGCAACAAAGAAAGAGUAAACGACGAUGGAAGAAGUGACGGUGAGGAGAUUCAUCCCGCCGAUAAACGAAGAUAAAAGUUGAAGAAAGAGGAAAAGAAAUAGUUCGGUCUAAUGCAGAGAUGUGAUCCAGUUUGGUUCAAUAAAAAAAAAAUCCGAUUUGGUUCAAGUAAAAAAAAAGAAAAGCGUGAGACGGUUUGGGGUAAAGCCUACACUCGAUAGUGAUCGAUUCAGUUCAAGUAAAAAAAAAAAAAAAAAUUGGUUCAAAGAUGAAAACAUGUGGAGCAGUUGAGCUGGUUCAGGGCAAUGUAACCUAUUGAUCUGAUUCAUUUCAAGUAAAGAAAGGGAGAAAUUAAGUUCGUUCCACGUAAAGAAAGAAAAAAAUAUGUGAAAAGCUUAAGCCGGUUCGGAGGAGUCUACAUUUAACAAUGAUCAACUCAAUUCAAGUAAAGAACAAGAAAAAUCCAAUUCGACUGAAGCAAAAAAAAAAGAAAAAAGAUACGUGUAGAACUUGAACAGUUUCUGGAUGAAGCCCACAUUUAAUAAUGAAAGGAACGUUAUCAUGUAGCAAAACUAAAAGAAAUAACGUAUAAGGAUAGAUUGAUAUCAUUAAUGUCACUUAAAUUUUCUAUAGUGAUAUUCAAAGUUUUCUACAUUAUUAAUGUCGCUUAAAUGAUAUUCAAAAUUUUCUGUAGAGUAGUUUCAAAAUUUAUUAGAACUAAGAUUAGGAUAAUGCUAUUUGACAUGAGAUAACAUGAGAGAUAUUUAUGAUAUUUUUAGAAGUAUUUGUGAUAGUUUAAGAUUUUGAGGAGUACCUAUGAAGCUGUCCCUAAAAAAAUCUGCAGUUUUGAGCUCUCACAACCUCGUUUCAAAAUUUGGAAGAUAUCGCUCCUUGACUUUCGAAUUUUAUGUAGUACAAUUUUUAGACGGUGUUCUUAAGGUAAGAAACUUAUAAGCAACUUUAAAGGAAAAAAAGUUAUAUACUUACAGGGAUCGCAUUUAAUUUGGAAAUUUGAAUACGAGUUUUUACUUUUUAGCCGUUCAAAUUUCACACUUUGAUAAAUAAUAUGACUUGAACACUCGUACAAGACGAUAGCAUACCCUCACCCUCUUUUCAUACGCACAAGACAUAAACUAUAAUGAAUGUUGGUGCAAAUAAAAUUUAUUUUUGUCCAAAUAUGGAAUAAGUAAUGAGAUUUGAAUUCUUUUAAUUAACCCUUCAACUCAGUUUGUUUUACUUACAGUAUGGCGUUGGACCACUGUGUUAGUUAAUUCGCGUAUAAUACGCGAAUUAUACGCGAACAAAUUGAAAACCGUAUAAAAUGCUCCGAAUACGAAUUGUUUUCCAAAAAAUCAAAAAACUCGUUUUUUUUCCCCUCGCUCAGAUUAUUCACGAUAAAAAUGGUUUUUCCGAAUUAUAUUUUGAAAAAUUCGGAUGUAGCAGCGGUGGAAAGAAGAAAUUUCUUGUGAAUUUUGGAUUUGGUGGUUGCGGAUUGAUGAAAGUUUUUGGACCGGCAUCGGGUGAGCAUUGUUCCACAAAUUUGUGCACCUCCUCGUGAGCAGUCGAGCAACUUUGCCUGUUCAAUUUUGAAGGAAAUAUGAAGACGAAGCGAAGCAAAGAAGAAAAGGGGCGAGCGAGGAAGGAGGACCCUGGAAAAAAUCGCGAUGUACAUUGGGAAAUAGCGGGGUCCAUGAGGCUGCACUCAGCGUCAUGGACCAUGUGGAGUGAGAGGUCCACCGUGCUGCAAUCAUAUAUAUAUAUAUAUAUAUAUAUGAUUUUAUAUAUUAUUUUAUAUUAGUUUAUUUUUAUAUUUAUAAAAAUUAUAAUUAUUUAUGAUAAUGACAUAAAUCUGAAAAAAAUUUAAUAGCCUAAUUAAGGAUAUUUUUCAUAAUUAUGAGUAUUUAUACUAAUAGCAUAAAUCUAGAGAAAAAAAAAAAUUAACAGCCGAAUUUUUUUAUCUCGAAAUUUUAAUUGGUGCACGUAUAAUAUUCGUAUAAAUCACGUAUCCGAAUAAUUUACAAAUCUAUUUUUUAGCCGUAUUUUUAAAAAAAUUUAAAAUUAAAAUACAAAUUUUAUCCGUAUUAUAUUCGUACCGAAUUUUUGCCAAAUCCGAAUUAACUACCUAAGUUGGGUCACAACAUACAUACCGAUUAUUCAGAUACAACUUUAUUUCGCACAGAUGUAUGAGAAUUGGGUAAAUUGCACUAAAGGUCUCUAAAAUUAAAAAUUUAGUUUGGAGACUGUCUGCGUUAAUUUCGCUCAGGCAUCAUUUGAGAUAGGCCAUGCCAAACUAGGCCCCGCCCUCAACUACACGCCACGCCCUCAUCAACAGAACAUUCCAAACUUGGUCCCCUAACAUUUCUUCUUCUUCUUCUUUUUUUUAAAAAAAAGAGUUUAUUUUUUGUUUUAAAUUUUUUGAUAAAUUGAGAUGUUUUAGUGAAAUAUAUUAAGAAUUUUAUCAGAUUUUCCGUGAUUCCAUCAAAUUUAAAAGUUUUGACCAUUCCUAGCAAUUGAAACUUGAAUAAUUUAUAACUAACUAGAAUUGCCCCAAUUAAACAACUUUAGAAGAUAAACAUAUGUUAAGAGUUGAGGAGUCAAAUUCAAAGGAGCCUAUGAUUGAGCGCGUCUUCAUAGAGAUCUACCGAUUAUCUGCUCAUGUAUGCAGCAACCAGAGCUAAACUAUGUUUAUCAGGGCAAUAAUUCGCCCUUUUUUUUUUCAUGAUCUUAAGAACAUGGUUAUAAGCUUUAAUUAAAAUUACAGAGCUUGAUAACAAGUCGAACAAGUUUAUGACAAAAAUAAAUAUAUAUUAUAAGCACAGUCCCAAAAAAUUGUGGGAGCAUCAGAUUUAAUUACUUGGUAUCAUAUUACACGAACGAGCCAUAUUUCAUGCGGAAUAUAUUAAACAAAUAUGAAAAUACAUGAUGUGCAACAUAAUAUUUGACGCAUAUUGGGUGCAAUUAAUUCUAUGCACAUAUGCAUUUUGACUGUUCAAAUUGGAUGGUCCAAAUAGAACGAUCAGUCUUGAUUGAUAUAUAAGGUAUAUAUUUCAUUCAGUUACAUAUUUUAUUAGGAAAUAAAUCCAAUUUCAUUUGUUCCCUUUGUUUUUAAUAAAAUAGAAAUCAUUCACUAGGCUCAGCCUAAAUCUAAUAUUCAUAGUAAGGGUACCGACCGUCCCUAGAGCAAGUGACAAACGGCUUGGUGGUUGGUAUCCGACACUCAAGUUCGAAUCCUAGUUGAUUUACAUUUCUAGCUAAGUUUAUUUCUAAGUGAAAUAAAACGAAGUAGGUAGUAUGCUAUCUAUUUCUCAUAUAUAUAUAUAUAUAUAUAUAUAUAUAUAUAGAUAUUAGAAAAAAAAAUGUCGAGCUCAAUUAUAAAAAGAUUCAUUUAUAUAUAAAGUUGCAACUAUUCGAUCAAAAUCUAAUAGGUAAGAUUUUAUAAAUUUAUUUUUUAUUUAUAUAUCCAAUCUAAUUCAUUUAAUUUAUUGUUCGUUGGUCAGCUCGUGUUCGACUCGUUUAUUAAUGAGUCGAACACAAGUUGAAUUUUUCGGCUUGAUACUUUAACGAGUCAACUGGUGUUCAGCUCGAACACGAGUUGGCUCCAGCUCACUCGUGUUCGGCUCGUUAAUACUUAGAUCUUAGACAUCAUGAAAGCGCAGUUUGAAUAUCAAAAUAAGUUAUUCAAAGAGAAGAAUUGCUUGGGUGAUUAUAAGAAAGAAGUUUAAUUUUUUUCUCCAAGAAAAGAAUUUGAUAUCCAUAGUUAGAUAGCAUGAUAUAUUUUAUUUAUGAGAUUAUUUAAUUAUCUUAUCCAGAAAAUGACUUUCACAGGCUGCAUUAAUAUCAAAUUUUAAAUUUUUGAUCACACUGCUCAUAUAUUAAUAUUAUGUACAAAAUUUUCAAAUAAUAUUUAUAAAAUAUAUCAAAUAAGGUAUUCAUAAAUCCAAAUAGGGCCGAAGUUAGGACGGUAUAAACCAAGUUCAUUCAUCGAAACCAAACCGUACCUAACAACACGUCUUUUAUUAGAUAGUAACUGCCAAAGAGGACGGACCUGGACCAUGUCUCGUGGGCCUACUACCAUGUCUCGCGGAGGACCAUGUCGGUCCAUGAGAACACCUAAUAUUUUUUUAAAAAAUUUUAUUUUAAUAGAAUUAAUUUUUUUAAACCAUAUUAUUUAUUUAUGUAUAAUUAAUGACUAGUUAUUGUAAUAGAAUAAAAUUUUCUCAUUAUAGUAAUAUUUUUUUAAAAAAAGAUUUCUUUUUCAUUAUUGUUAAAAAUUUUUUGAUCCGUCUUUGUUUUCUCCAUCUUAUUAUGGUACAAAUUAAGAGAAAGCUAGAGUACUAUUAUAUACAACCCUUUGUUAAGAUAUUGGUGUGGCUAGGUCGAGUUAGGCUCAACGACAAGCCAUUAUUUCCACCCUAGUGUGCGCGCAUACACAAUUUGCAUUGCAUAAAGAGACACAUGUGAUCCAUUUUAUAGUACUAAUAAGCAACACUAGUACACAAUACUUAAGGAGAACAUUCAAUUGUAGAUAUUCAAACUUACAUGCUCACUGGACACACCGAAACAGAACAGAAACCACAAUGUCGAAGCAAGCUUAGCAAUUGGAUGCAGCUAACAUCCUUAUUUAUGUAAGUUAAGCAAACAAGAUAGCAAACUGCAGUGCAUUGCUAAAUCAUUUGCUUCCGACUUAUGCGUAGCUUCAAGUUUCAGAAACCAUCUUAAUAACUUCGACAUUGGCCCCUGAUUGUAGAGUGGGAUAGAGAGGAGCCAUGGCGAUUCCACAUAAUCCAGAUGAUGAUGACACACCUCUUGCCAUACGGACGUAUCCACGCUCACCCCAUGAGCUACCCCACGAGUUCCUUACUAUCCAAUAUUUUGUUCCACUGCUAUCCUGCCCGUAACCUAUAAUGGUGAUGGCAUGAUUGAGACUAGUUCCACAAGGUCCGCUAUACACACCGCCUCGGUAAUAUUGAAAGUUGUUUCCGCUGGCAUCGAUAAGAGCAGCUAUUGGUUGUUUCGACACAGCGUACAUCAUGCUGCGUUCGUUGUUCCUUUGCACAUAUGUAUAACCAGUAAUGUAAGCUGAGUUGGGCACGCUAUUGGCAGCGCAAGUGCCUUUGUAUCCUUGAUAAGGAUAGUAAGCUGCGGAGGUCACACCAUUGUUAGAUAUGAUGAAAUCGUAGGCCUUGUCCACCCAGCCGCCUUUGCACCCGUAGCUAACAGCACAAUCGAGAACUUCUUGCUCCGAUAGAGAUACUAAGUACCCUGUUUUGAUCUUGUAGAUUCCUUCCACUGUUGCAAUUGCACUGAAUGCCCAGCAAGAACCUAUGCCAAAACAAAGAUAUGCGUUCGCAUAACUACUGUUAGCAAAGUUAUAUAUGAUAUAGCCAUGAUAUAAGGAAACAUUCAAACUGACAUAAUUAGAUGUUAUUUGCAAGUACAGAGCUGCUUUUAACUUGUUUCAAUAGUUGUCAUGCAUAUGGAUGUCCUGUUCUUUCUGACUAGCACUUACUUUGCUUACUUCAGUAAUAUGAUUAUUGCAGUAACUUAAUUAAUAGUAAGAGACCCAGCAAUAGAUCUAACUUGCAGAUAGAUUGAAUCGAGUCGAAGCCUGUGAACAUUGUGCUUGAAUUCUUAAAUGCGAUGGAUGUGUCCUUUUUAUCACCAUGUAUGUAUUUUUGGAUGGUUUAUUAGCACUUACAUAUACAUUUGAUGGCUAAGUUGAUUUUUUAUUAACUAGAUUCAAUACUUCAUUUCCUUGUACACUGAUAAUAUGUGAUAAUACAUGUUUAGACCCUUUUAAUCAGCCAAAGUAAUGGAAUCAUUGAGUUUUAAUGGGUGGAAAUUUGGUCCUUUUGUCCAAAAAAGGCAUAAGGCAUUCGGUAGCAAGCAUAUUUGAUCUAAGCAACAUGUUAUAAAGUUAACUAAGAAUAGAUUUUUUUUUUUUCUAGCUGAAGAAAUGAAGGUGCUUUGAUAAUUUAUAGUCGAGAUUUCUUACCACAGCUGCCUUGAUUCCUGACACUUGUUACAGCACCAUAGUCUCUCCAAUCAAUACUUUGAGCCACCGCGGAGAUGUCUACGUCAUCAAACGACUCCACUAGCUCUGUCUCGAUAUUUAGUGGGAGAGAUACUCCAGUAUAUUGAGAAAUAAAUUCGUUAUUUGUCUUAUCGGUAAACUGAUUGAUACCGAGAGUGUACGAAUUUUCGCUAUGGUUGUUAAAGGUUUCAAUAUGGUUCACGUUGUUCUUGAAUAUCUGAAACCGCCGCAUCUUCUCGUCGUUGUCAUUGUAAACUCGGCCGUACUGAGCCAUCCAUUCUUCAAACCUCUUCAUCAUGGGGUCACUGGGUUCGCCAUGAGAAGCUGCCGAUGGCGAAGCCCACAUCACACAAAGAAACGAGAAAAGAAACAAAAGUUGAAAUUUGGAAGCCAUGCAUAUACAUAUGUAGCACUAAAUAUCUAGUAUAUGUAUGAGGAAAUUGGAGAUCGAGCUACAAGAGCUUGCUUUUGGUGCUGAGAGUAUGGUCUCAAGAUUGUGUUUUUAUAGAAGUUCAUGCCUACGAAUGUAGUUGGGAGUAUUAAUGGGUGGAGGCCUGCAAGAUUAAAUAGUUGUGGACCGCUUGCAACACCACGUCAUGUGGUCAUGUGGUAAUCACGAAAGAAUAAUGUUUCUCUACUUACUCCCACAUUUUAUCCUUGUAAUUUCUUUCAUAGGACAUAAGAUCAUCUUAGGUGCAAGCGAAUGGAACAUACGUUUCUCCAUUUCUAUCUCUUAACUCUUUAACCUUAAUCUUUCAUGCAUAAGCUAUAUUAUUUCUUGUUGUUUAUUUUUCCAUCGAGUAAGCACCAACGCAGGAAAUAAAAAGUCCACAAGUGGUUUAGCCCAUUAUAACUUUAUUUAGAAGCCUAGUAUCAUUCGAACUCAAGGCUACUAGCUUGCUCUAAUAUUGUACAAAAUAAUGUAAUACAACUGUUGUUCUCAAAAAACUGAAAAAUGACACAGAGCACUAGGUACUAAGUUUAAAUCUGAUCAGACUAGUUUCAUUUAACUUCGUUUCAUCUAAUUUAAGUGAAUUCAAAUUCAUAUUUUAAGUCUAUUAAAAUAUCUUGAGUCUAAACUUAAGAAAGAGUGUUGAUUUUAAAUAUUAAAAAUAUUUCUUUUCUUAUGGCUAUCCCUUAAGAAGAAGAUCCCCAUGGCCGAUAAUUUACUGAAAAAGGGAUGGUUGGGUGAUCCCCUCUGUGUCCUCUGUGGUGAAGUUAUGGAGACGGUGGACCACCUCCUUAUAGGAUGUGUGUACACUAAGUUUAUGCUUUUUCGAACCUUGGAGGACAUCCAGUGUUUACAGACUAUGGAGGACGUACCGAUGAUCUGGAGUAAAAUCACAAGAAUUAUUAGGUCGGGGGAGAUUUUGCAGGAUCUGAUUACCGAAGCAGUGUGCUGGUGGUUAAUCUGGAAGGAAAGAAAUAACGUGAUUUUUAAAAACCACUUUGCUGACCCUCUCUUCGUAGUCGGACAUAUCAAGGAGUUGGUAAGAGAGUGGAGGGACUUUUGUUGAGCUGUAUAACCUGUCGAUUACUUUUGUUGCUAUUUCUCUUUUCUUUUUCUUCUUUAUUUGAGCUAUAUUUUUCUUCUCGAGGCCAUGUUGACUCACUGUUUGUAGCCAAAUUUAUUUUCGAAAUGAAUGAUGCGGGUAACGUGCUACCUUUUUCUCAAAUAUAUAUAUAUAUAUAUAUAUAUAUAUUAUAUACUUUGCAAAAUUAAGUUUUUAGAGAUAAAUGAUUCUAUUUUUUUUUCCAUAUUAUAAUGAGCGAUUAUAAUCUAAUUCCUACUAGGGAUGCAAACGGGGCGGUCUGGGGCGGGAAGUUCCUCCACCUCCCGUUCAUUUUUUAUCUGGGCGGGAGCGGUCGGAGGCGGGUUACUUUUCAUUAUUUUUGGUUCCCACUUACCGCUCCAUUCGGAGGCGGAUCGGAGCGGGAGCCGGAUUUUUGACGGAUCGGGCGGAUUGAAGAAGAAAAGAGUCUCCCACCUCCCGCUCCAUUUACGUUGGCGAUCGGGAACGGAUUCGGGACGGUUAUAUUUUUUAUAUAUUUUUGUUCCACUUUACCACUCCAUUCGGGCGGAGCUCCACCAACCCGGAUCCAUUGGCACCCUAAUUCCUACUUUAAUUACCAUUAGAAAAUAAAUAAUAUACCUAAUUUAUAAUGAUUUUACUCCAACCACUUUUCAUCUACUAGCAUGCUCCAUUCCACGUGUCCUAAGUUAGAAGACAAUCCAAAAUAUGAAGAACCCGAGUUAAAGAUUGCAGUAAAGUUAAUUUAAUGAUAACUUCAAUUUAUAUACCUCCAUGAUUUAGUGGAUUUUUUACAUUUGUUCUCUGUGUUCAAAAAUUUUACUUAAUUAUCAUGUAAUUUAUUUUAUUUCACAGAUAUGAUAGAAUCUAACAUAAAGUUAGCAAAGUGAAUUUAUUUUAAAUAAAGUUAUAAAGUGGUAUCCGUUAAAAUAAACUUUACAAUAAAAUAAAAUUAAUAUUAUGGAUGUUAAGUAUAAUAUUGAACUUUUCAACCAUGUAAAAAGUGAUUAAAAACAUUAAACAACGGUACGAAAAAUUAAGAAUUAUCUAAUUUAAUUCAUCGCACUAACUCGAUCCAAUUCAUUCAUUUCCUUGAUCCAAGAUUCCACAAUCUCAUUCUCCCCAAAUAUUUGAGUGCAAAUAUAACAUAUGUUACAAAAGUCAAACGCAUUAUAAAUUUUUUGUAUAAAUUUUUAAACUCUAUAAAAUUAAUCAAAUAAUUAAAUUUGAUUUUAAAUUUUUUUAGAGAAAAGAUAAUUAGUUACACUUUUGUUCAUUUUGUGAUUUUUUUUUUCGAGUAAAAUCUAAUAAGAGAUUUAGUGCCAACAUGCAUGUGUGUAAUUAUUAAGUAUUUUAAGAAUAUAUCAGUUAUAUGAUGAAGUUGCAUUUUCAACCAAUCAAGUAAUUUGUUUAAAUUUAUCUCUUUCAUCAAAUUAUUAAAAAAUAAUAUUAUUAUAUUUUAAAAAUAUAAUUAAUUUAUUAUUUGAUAAUAUAUAUAAAUAUAAUAUAGUAAAUUUUCGUCAUCAUAUUUGUUUGGACCGAUGUAAUCAGGUAGGGGACAAUCACUCUGGGGGGCGUUUGGAUUGACGAAUUUUUGUAGAUUCUACAACGUAUAGUCAAGUGUAUGUGUUGUGAGUUUUCCCUGAUGGUGAUUAUUUUUCUGUGUUUGUUUUGACAGUAACUCGUACCACUGAAAGUUAAAUUCAAUCACUUCUGCUGUUUGUUUUGAUGUAACUUGGUGCUGGUAAAAUUAGUUUUUUGAGUUCCGUUGUUUGUUUUGAUGUAAGUAAGUGGAUCCCAUUAUCUCCUAAAUAUAGUAAUAAAUUUAUCACUAUAAAAUUUAACCUAUUAUAUAAUUAAAUUUUUUAUUAUUAUUUAAAGAUAAUCUUAAUUUAUUAUAAAUAAGGUAAUUCUAACCCAUUAUAAAGAAAGUAGAGUUUAGGUUUUACUGUUUAAUAAAUUGUUUAGAGAAGGUUGAGUGUGGUGGAAGUCGAGUUCGGUACUUUAGAGCCGGAAGUCGAGAGUAGGUGAAGUGGAGCUCUAACGUAACUUGAGUUACAUUAUAUUUUUCACUUACACCAAAACAAAUAACGGAAGUGAUGGAACUUGAGUUCCAUCACUCCACUUACACCAAAAUAAACGGGCCCUCUAUGCACAAGAGUUAUUGCAAUUGAUGUGUUGUUUAUUGGGACAAAAAUUUUAUGGGCAUAGCCCCAAAACCAAUUAGUUUGGGGACUAUGCCGAUCGGUGCCACGUGACUGAUCCGACCGCCACAGAUGGAAAGACAAAAAAGAAAUCCUGUGUUUUUAGAGAGAGAGAGAAAAUAAUUGAAAUCCGUGGCCGUCGGAUCGGCCACAUGGGGCCGAUCGGCAUACUCCCCAAACUAAUUUUGUUUGGGACUAUGCCCAUAAAAUUUUUGUCCAGCUGAGCAUGUGUUGCACAACUUAAGGAGGAGUGAUAAGAGAGGCGAGCAUUAUAAAUUAUCAAUGCCGUCCAGUCUCUCUUAAAUUAUUAUGAAUAUAUUACAAAAACCUUUUAAGAGAAUAGUCUUUAUCAUAAAUAAUGUUGAUAGUUGCAAAAUACUUAUUUUGCCAUUGACUAUUAUAUAUAUUAUUAAUGUGGCUUAAAUUUUCUAUAAGGACUUGUUUGGUUCAAGGGUGGAAUUAGAGUAGAUAAUGAAAUGGAAAUGAAUUGGAAUGGUAAUUAGAAUGAUCCAUUCUCCCAAGACGUUUGGUUUAUUUGUGGAUUGAGAAUUGAAAUGAGUUAUUCACAUUUCAUUGUUUGGUUCGUAUAAACUAAAAAAGUUAUAGGAUACUAUAAUACUAAUUUUACUCUCAUAUAUAAAUUUAUAUUAUUUAAAAUUUAUGAAAAAUAUAAUACUAUUCUCUAAUAAGUUUUUCAAAAAAAAAAUCAAAUUUAUUUUUAAAAACUUUUAUUGAUGUGGGUUAGGAAUAGGAUUUUGAGAGAUGAUAGGUUUUUUUUUUUAUUUUUUUUCUGAUGAGAAAAGGGUGAAGAGAAGGAAGGNGGUGAGAUGGUCACAUGGGUUUUGAGAACUUAGUAGACUUCCGGAAUGAAAUAUCAAUCUAGGCUAAAAGACCGGAAUCAAGUUGAGGGCUAAUGGGCCAUUCCCAUUCCAGUCCGGAAUAGGAAUCCCAAUCCGAUUCAUGCGAACCAAACAAAAUUAACCGGAUUUAAUCAAACUGAUUUCCAUUCCAUAUCCAAAAUGGAUGAACCAAACAAGCCCUAAGUGAUAUUCAAAAUUUAAAAACGACGAUAUUGGCCCAGGCUAUUCAUGGAAUGAGGACCGCUCAACGGACCCUACAUAUUUUUUGAAAAUGCCCUCUAAAUAUUUUAUCAAUAAUUUUUAUUAUCAUGCAUGCAUCACAUGAAUAAUUUAAAAACAAAAAUAAAAAUAAAAAUUAGAAUUAAAACUAAAAUUAAAAUUUAAUAAAGAUAUAAAUUUAAAUUUUAAAUUUGAAUUUAAAUUUUUAAUUUAAAGCUGCAAUCAAUUUUAAAUCUAAAUUUAAAUUUGAAAUUAAAUAUAAAACUAAUUCAACAGCUAGAUUUGAAAUUAACAUUAGUGUAAUUCUUAAUUUUGAAUUCAAUUGAAUUUAAAAAUUAAUAUUAAAAUUCAAAAUUCGAAUUUACAUUUGAGUGUAUCUAAUAUCAAAGUUUAAAUUGAAAAUUGACUUAAAGAAAUAUAAGAAAUAUAAUUAUAAAUUUUGGAACUACUUAGAGAUAAAAUUGAAUAAUUUAAAAUUUAACUAGUGGUAAACUAAUUUCGAGCUAAUCAAGAUUAGCAUAACACUCUGUGUUGUGAGAUAACAUGAGAAAUAUUUAUGGUAUAGCACAUUCUAUUGAAAGAGCGUAUAUGAUAAUGUGAUAUUUUUUAGAAGCAUUCGCGAUAGUUUAAGAUUUUGAGUGGUUAUAAAAUUGCCCCGAAAAAUAUUGGCGGUUCGAACUCUCACGAGCAUGUUUCAAAAUUUAGAAAAUUAAUCUCCCUGACUUUCGACGGUGUUCUUAAGGUAAGGAACUUUAGAGGGAAAAAGUUACAUACUUAAUUAGAGGGAAAAAGUUACAUACUUAAUUAGAGGGAUCGCAUUUCGGAAAUUUGAAGAUGAGUUUUUCGCCAAGUCCAGAUUUCACACUUAGAUACAUAAUAAUAAUAAUAUGAUUUGAACACUCAUAAAAGAUGAUAACAUGCGUGUACGCACUUUUAAUAUGCACAAGACAUAGACUAUAACGAAGGUAUGUUGGUAUAAGUAAAAUUUACCUUUGUCCAAAUAAUAGGUGAAAGAUGGAAAAAGUAAUGAGAUUUGAAUUCUUUUUUUUUACCCUCAACUCAGUUGGUUUGUUCUUGUUAUAGUGGCAUCCGACUGCAACAUACAUAUAUACCGAUUAUAUACUCAGAUACAAGUUUAGUUCGAACAGAUAUAUGAGAAUUUGGUAAAUUGCACUAUAGGUCUCUAAACUUUAAAUUUAGUCAGGCUAAAUUACAGAAAAUUUCUUUGUCAAUAUCUGCUUUUUUACUUUUUCUCUCCGUCAUUCAAAAAUCUAUACUUCGUCCCCUUAAAAAGUAAAAAAUAUUCAUUUCGGUUCUUGCCGUCAGUGUUCCAUUAAGGUUCCGUUUAUAUUUUAUUUUUUAAAUUCAAAAUUGUUAGGAUUUGGUUAGAUUUGUAGUUGAAUCCUAUUUUGGAUAAGAAUUAAUAUUUAAAUCUGUUGGAGAUAAAUUAAGAUUUAAAUAUUAAUUAGAGUAUAAAUCUAAAUAGAUUAGAAUUAAUAUUUAAAUCUAUUAGAGAUUAAAUUAAGAUAGAUUUAUAUAUUAAUUAAAGUCGGAAUUCUAAAUAUACUAGGAUUGGGUAUGUUUUCGUAGGUGCUAUAUAUAUAUAGCAUUGGAGCUAAUUAAUUAGCAAGAAGCCAAGAAGGCUGUGAGGUGUACUGCCAAGAGAGAGAUUCUCUUUGGGGUGUGAAGUACCUGAGAGAAAAAGAGAGAGUUAUCCAAUGAGUUGAGUACACCUAGUGCACGGGUGCGCGUAGAGAAUUGUCUACUUUGUGGGAUUAUAGAAGACGAGAGAAGGGUAGAAAAGAUUCAAAAUAAGGGCUCGGGUUGUAGCUACUCUGUUGCAGAAGAGGAGUCAGAUGUAAUCUUUUCUUAUUUAAUGAAUUUUAUUUUACCUGCAUAUUUUUCUUUUUUAUUAUUAUAUUAGCUUUUUCUGAAGAGACGAGUUUAUGGUGAAAACCCGAUUUGACGUUUUCGUUGCGGAAUCCCAAUAAUCUGUUGCGGAUUCAUAAGAUCCGGUACCGGGACAAGUACCGGAUUCCCAACAAUUAGUAUCAGAGCUGAAGGUUACCGAUCCAAGGGAGAGAUCGGCGAAAAUGGCCACGAAAUUCGAAAUCAAGAAGUUCGACAGCAAGAACAAUUUCGGAUUGUGGCAAAUUAAAGUACGGGUAAUCCUCGUACAGCAAGAGUUAGACGAGAUGUUGAACGGGAAGGAGGCGAAGCCGGUGGAGGUCACGGAUGCGGCAAGGACGAAGAUGGAGCGGAAGGCGCUGAGCACGCUUCAUCUAUUAUUAGCAGAUGAGGUUCUUUACAACGUAGCCAGCGAGACGACACCGACAAAGUUGUGGAAGAAAUUAGAUGAUCUGUACAUGACCAAAUCCUUGACAAACAGGUUGUCUUUGAAGCAACGAUUGUUUACGCUGCGGAUGCAAGAAGCGGCAAGUCUACAUGAGCAUCUAAACGAGUUCAACAAGGUGGUGGCCUAGUAGACUAGCAUCGGAGUCAAUCUGGAUGACGAAGAUAAGGCGCUGAUUUUACUAUCUUCGCUACCGGCGACAUAUGAGCAUCUAGUGACCACAUUGCUUUAUGGCAAGGAGACCAUAAGCGUGGAGGCAGUCACAGGGGCGCUUCUCUCGAACGAGAUGCGGAAGAUGACUCAGGAGUCCGGCAUGCAGAGACAGGAUACUGCUUGGUGGUGAGAGCGAAGAAGGAGACGACAACAUCAGCGACUGAAGAUCGACAGAAGAAGUCACUAUUCGAGGUGGAGUGCUUUUACUGUCACAGGAAAGGACAUAUCAAGCGCAAAUGUCGGGAACUUCAGAAUGAUCUGAAGGAGUUAAAGCGACAAAAGGAGAAAACUGUCGUGAACCAGAACGAGGCGAUAACAGCGAUGGCGCAGGCGGCAAAGUCGGAGAUGAUCGAUUCUGAUGUGCUAUAUGCGGCGACCGGAGGUGCGAAAAUUUCGGAUGAUGCGUGGGUGCUCAAUUCGGCGUGUUCCUUUUACGUAUGCCCGGAGGAGGUGUCUUUUGCCACCUAUAAGGCGAUCAAGGGUGGAAAAGCUCUGAUGAGGAACGGGACGGCGUGCAAAGUUUUGGGAGUCGGCACGGUAAAGAUCCGAAUGCACGAUGGGAUCAUGAGGACGCUGACAGGUGUGCGACAUGUUCCUGGAUUGAAGCGGAAUUUGAUCUCGUUAGGCACGUUGGACUCGAAGGGUUGCGAUAUUUCAGUUUCAGGUGGAGCUAUGAGGGUCUGAAAAGGAGAUCGGGUCAUGUGCGAGGCGAACAAGCGUGGGAAUUUAUACGUUCUGAACGGGAGCACAGUCAGAAUAGAAGGAAAGACGGUUUGGGUUCCAAAAGUUCGCGGAUGUGCAGUCGCUCGAGGCGAAGCAACGGAUGCAGCAACAUCGAGCGGAGAAGACAAGCUCAAGGUGGAGCUUGCAUGGUAAGCUCGAUGUAGCGGUUGAAGACUACAAAUUCAACCAAGGUGGAGAUUGCUAGGAUUUGGUUAGAUUUGUAGUUGAAUCCUAUUUUGGAUAAGAAUUAAUAUUUAAAUCUGUUGGAGAUAAAUUAAGAUUUAAAUAUUAAUUAGAGUAUAAAUCUAAGUAGAUUAGGAUUAAUAUUUAAAUCUAUUAGAGAUUAAAUUAAGAUAGAUUUAUAUAUUAAUUAAAGUCGAAAUCCUAAAUAUACUAGGAUUGGGUACGUUUUCGUAGGUGCUAUAUAUAUAUAGCUGGGGCUAAUUAAUUAGCAAGAAGCCAAGGAGGCUGUGAGGUGUGCGGCCAAGAGAGAGAUUCUCUUGGGGUGUGCCGUACCUGAGAGAAAAAGAGAGAGUUAUCUAAUGAGUUGAGUGCACCUAGUGCACGGGUGCGCGUGGAGGAUUGUCUUCUUUGUGGGAUUAUAGAAGACGAGAGAAGGAUAGAAAAGAUUCAAAAGGAGGGCUCGGGUUGUAGCUAAUCUAUUGCAGAAAAGGAGUCAGGCGUAAUUUUCUAUUAUUUAAUGAAUCUUAUUUUAUCUGCAUAUUUUUCUCUUUUAUGAUUGUAUCAGAUUUUGCUGAGAAGACAGGUUUAUGGUGAAAGCCCGAUUCGACGUUUCCGUUGCGGAAUCCCAACAAUCUGUUGCGGAUUCACAAGAUUCGGUACCGGGACGAGUACCGGAUUCCCAACAAAAAUAUUUCUAAAAUUCUCAUCCAUACCCACACACAUAUGCCACCUCACUCUGGCCCACCCCUCUGUCCAUGCGUAGAUGCACACCCUUGCUCUCUGCCGCCGGAAUGAACAAGAUUGGGAAGAAGGACAUAAAGAAAAUGAGGACAAUUUGUUCAUUUUAUCACACAAUAUUUAUUUAUAAAUAUUUUUAUUUUUCAAAAAUAUAAAGUUUAGAUUUUUAAACGACAAAAAAAAAGAAAAACAGUUAUUGGCCUAAGGUUUUUAUAUAAUUGAGCCAUUUAGUUAAUGCGGAGACAGUCCAAACUGAAAAAUUCUAGAAUGCAACGGGUAUAUUAGUGGCGUGGCGUAACAAACCAAUCAAAUUAAUCUUUUUAAGAAUAUAUGUCCCAUCAUGAUUGUAAAAAAGUAUUUUUAUUGUACUUUUGUUUGAAAAGAAUAAAUGUGAUUGGCUUGUUAUUGAUGACGUGGUGCAAAUGUGACAGUGUAGAAUUCCUCUUCCAAACUAGGCCACGCCCUCAGCUCCAGAACAUUCCAAACUAGGUCCCAAAACGUUUCUUUUUUUUUAAAAAACAAGUUUAUUUUUGUUUUUUAUUUUUUUGAUAAAUUGAGAUGUUUAAAAUAUAUUAUAAUUUUUUAUNUUUAAAUCUAAAUUUAAAUUUGAAAUUAAAUAUAAAACUAAUUCAACAUCUAGAUUUGAAAGUAACAUUAGUGUAAUUCUUAAUUUUGAAUUCAAUUGAAUUUUUUCAAAAUUCGAAUUUACAUUUGAGUGCAUCUAAGAUCAAAGUUUAAAUUGAAAAUUGACCAAUAAUGUAAGCUGAAUUGGGCACGCUAUUGGCGUUACAAGUGCCUUGGUAUGCUUGAUAAGGAUAGUAAGCGCGCUUCGGAGGUCACACCGUUGUUAGAUAUGAUGAAAUCGUAGGCCUUGUCCACCCAGCCGCCUUUGCACCCGUAGCUAACAGCACAAUCGAGAACUUCUUGCUCCGAUAGAGAUACUAAGUACCCUGCUUUGAUCUUGUAGAUUCUUUUCACUGUCGCAAUUGCACUGAAUGCCCAGCAAGAACCUAUGCCAGAACAAAGUUUUACGUUAGCAUAACUACUAUAAGCAAAGUUAUAUAUGAUAUAGCCAUGAUAUAAGGAAACAUUCAAACUAACAUAAUUAAACGUUAUUUGCAAGUACAGAGCUGCUUUUAACUUGUUUAAGAUUUUGAGUGGUUAUAAAAUUGUCCCUAAAAAUAUUGGCGGUUCGAACUCUCAUCACGACCAUGUUUCAAAAUUUAGAAAAUUAACUAGUAGAGGGAAAAAGUUACAUACUUAGAGGGAUCACAUUUCGGAAAUUUGAAGAUGAGUUUUUCGCCAAGUCCAGAUUCCACACUUAGAUACAAAAUAAUGAUUUGAACACUCGUAAAAGAUGAUAGCAUGUGUGUGCGCACUUUUAAUAUGCACAAGACAUAGACUAUAACGAAGGUAUGUUGGUAUAAGUAAAAUUUACUAUUGUCCAAAUAAUAGGUGUAAGAUGGAAUAAGUAAUGAGAUUUGAUUUCUUUUUUUUACCCUACAACUCAGUUAGUUUGUUCUUGUUACAGUGGCGUCCGACCGCAACAUACAUGUAUACCGAUUAUAUACUCAGAUACAAGUUUAUUUCGAACAGAUAUAUGAGAAUUUGGUAAAUUGCACUAUAGGUCUCUAAACUUUAAAUUUAGUUAGGCUAAAUUAUAGAAAAAUCUCUCUGUUAACAUCUGUUUUUUCACUUUUCCUCCAUGUCAUUUAAAAAUCUAUACUUCGCCCCCUUAAAAAAUAAAAAAUAUUCAUUUCGGUUCCUGCCGUCAGUGUUCUGUUGAGGUUCCAUUUAUAUCUUAUUUUUUUAAUUCAAAAUAUUUCUGAAAUUCUCAUCUAUAUCCACACACAUAUGCCGCCUCGCUCUGGCCCACCCCUCUGUCCAUGCGUAGAUGCACACCCUUGCUCUCUGCCGCCGGAAUGAACAAGAUUGGGGAGAAGGAAAUAAAGAAAAUUAGGACAAUUUGUUCAUUUUUAUCACACCAUAUUCAUCUAUAAAUACUUUUUAUUUUUCAAAAAAGCAAAGUAUAGAUUUUUUUUUUUAAAAAAAAAAGAAAAACGGCUAUUGGCCUAAGGUUUUCAUAUAAUUUAGCCAUUUAAUUAAUGCGGAGACAUUCCAAACUGAAAAAUUCUAGAAUGCAACGGGUAUAUUAGUGACGUAGCGCGGCAUAACAAACCAAUUAAAUUAAUCCUUUUAAAAAUAUAUGUCCCAUCAUGAUUGUAAAAAAGUAUUUUUAUUGUACUUUUAUUUUGAAAAGAAUGAAUAUGAUUGGCUUGUUAUUGAUGACGUGGUGCAAAUGUGACAGUGUAGAAUUCCUCUUCCAAACUAGGCCACGCCCUCAGCUCCAGAACAUUCCAAACUAGGUCCCAAAACGUUUCUUUUUUUUAAAAAAAAAGUUUAUUUUUGUUUUUUAUUUUUUUGAUAAAUUGAGAUGUUUAAAAUAUAUUAUAAUUUUUUAUCAGAUUUUCCGUGAUUCCAUCAAAUUUAAACAGUUUUGACCAUUUCUGGCAAUUGAAACUUGAAUAAUUUACUAAAAUUUUCAAGAUAUAUUUAUAAAAUAUAUCAAAUAAAAUAUUCAUAUAUUUACAUAGGGCCGAAGGUAGGACGGUAUCAAUCCAAAUUGGAUUAAACCAAGUUCAUUCAUCGAAACCAAACCAUACUUAACAAAACGUCUUUUAUUAGGUAACUGCCAAAGAGGAGAACCAUGUCGGUCCAGGAGAACACCUAAUAUUUUUUAAAAAAUUUAUUUUAAUAGAAUAAUUUUUUUAAAAAAAAUAUUAUUUAUUUAUGUAUAAUUAAUGACUAGUAAUUGUAAUAGAAUAAAAUUUUCUCAUUAUUGUAAUAUUUUUUUUAAAAAAAGAUUUAUUUUUCAUUAUUGUAAAAUUUUUUUUGAUCCGUCUCUGAUUUCUCCAUCUUAUUAUGGUACAAAUUGAGAGAAAGCUAGAGUACACAAUUGCAUUGCAUAUAGUUAAGAUAUUGGUGUGGCUAGGUCGAGUUAGGCUAAACGGAAAACCCUUAUUUCCACCCUAGUGUGCGCACAUACACAAUUGCAUUGCAUAAAGAGACACAUGUGAUCCAUUUUAUAGUACUAACAAGCAACACUAGUACACAAUAAUGAAGGAGCACAUUCAAUUAUAGAUAUUCAAACUUACAUACUGGCAGGACACACCGAAACAGAACAGAAACCACAAUGUCGAAGCAAGCUUAGCAAUUGGAUGCAGCAAACAUCCUUAUUUAUGUAAGUAAAGCAAAUAAGAUAGCAAACUGCAGUGUUGCUAAAUCAUUUGCUUCCGACUUAUUACGUAGCUUCAAGUUUCAGAAACCAUCUUAAUAACUUCGGCAUUAGCCCCUGAUUGUAGAGUGGGAAAGGAGAAGGAGCCAUGGCGAUUCACAUACUCCAGAUGACGAUGACACACCUCUUGCCAUAGCGGACGUAUCCACCCUCACCCCAUGAGCUGCCCCACGAGUUCCUUACUAUCCAAUAUUUUGUUCCACUGCUAUCCUGCCCGUAACCUAUAAUGGUAUGGCAUGAUUGAGACUAGUUCACAAGGUCCGUAAACACACCGCCAUGGUAAUAUGAAAGUUUUCAGCUGGCAUCGAUAAGAGCAGCUAUUGUUGAUUCGACACAGCGUACAUCAUGCUGCGUUCGUCGUUCCUUCGCACAUAUGAAUAACGCAUAAUGUAAGCUGAAUUAGGAAAGCUAUUGGCGUUGCAAGUGCCCUUGGAAUGCUAGAUAAGGAUAGUUUCUUCGGUGGUCACACCGUUGUUAGAUAUGAUGAAAUCUAGGCCUUGUUCACCCAGCCGCCUUUGCACCCUAGCUAACGACACAAUCGAGAAUUCUUGCUGCCGAUAAAGAUACUAAGUACCCUGUUUUGAUCUUGUAGAUUCCCUCCACCGUCGCAAUUGCAGCGAAUGACCAGCAAGACCCUAUGCCAAAACGAAGAUAUAUACGCAUAGCAUAACGACUGUAAGCAAAGUUAUAUCUGAGAUUGCUAUGAUAUAAGAAAACAUUCAAACUAACAUAAUUAAACUGUAUUUGCAAGUACAGAGCUGCUUUUAACUUGUUUUCAAUGGUUUCAAGCAAUAUGGAGGUCCUGUUCUUUUUGACUCACACGUACUUUGCUUACUUUAGUAGUAUGAUUAUUGCAUAACUUAAUAAUAGUAAGAGACUCAGCAAUAGAGCUAACUUGCAAAUAGAUUGAAUCAAGUCGAAGCCUGUGAACAUUGUCCUUGAAUCCUUAAAUGCGAUGGAUGUGUCUUUUUAUCACCAUGUAUGUUUUGAUAGUUAAUUAACACUUAUAUAUACAUUUGAUGCUAAGUUGAUUUUUUAUACUAGAUUCAAUACUUCAUUUCUUUGUACAUUGAUAAUGUUGUGAUUAUACAUGUUUAGACACUUUAAUAGCCAAAGUAAUGGAAUUAUUGAGUUUUAGUGGCGGAAAUUUGUCCUUUUGUCCAGAAAAGGCAGAAGGCAUUCGGGUAGCAAGCAUAUUUGAUCUAAGCAACAUGUUAGCAGCAUCUUAUAAAGUUAACUAAGAAUAGAUUUUUUUCUUUUUUCUAGUUGAAGAAAUGAAGUUGCAUUGACAAUUUAUAGUCUAAAUUAUUUCUUACCACAGGGGUUUUGAUUCUUGACCUCGUUUACGGCACCAUAGUCUCUCCAAUCAAUACUUUGAGGCACCGCGGAGAUGUUUACGUCAUCAAAUGACACCACUGGCUCUCUCUCGAUAUUUAGUGGGAGAGAUACGCCGGUAUAUUGAGCAACAAAUUCGCUUUUUGUCAUAUCGGUAAACUGAUUGAUACCGAGAGUGUACGAAUUUCCGUUGCGACUGUUAAAGGUUUCGAUAUGCUUCACGUUGUUCUUGAAUAUCUGAAACCGGCGCAUCUUCUCGUCGUCGUCCUUGUAAACUCGGCCGUACUCCGCCAUCCAUUCUUCAAACCGCUUCAUCAUGGGAUCAUUGGGUUCGUCACGAGAAGCUGCCGAUGGCGAAGCCCACAUCGCACAGAGAAACAAGAAAAGAAACACGAGUUGAACUUUGGAAG
rnacentral:lncRNA from 1 species